rnacentral:lncRNA from 1 species
UUGUGUGUGUCUAUUUGAUUUUCUCAUUGUGAUUGUGUAUGUCUAGGUGUGUUUGAUGUAUUGGCGUAUACGGACACGGAUGUAGCUGUUCCAUUCACAUGGGUCGAAAGCGAUCCGAAGUUGAUUGCUAAUCCACAGAUGGUUAAGCUACACGCUUUUGAUACCAAGGUAAAGAACAAGAAGUAGGAAACCUGACUACGUUCACUUUGAAAUGUUUACUAACCACCGCAUUGGUUUUUGUUCUGCUUCUUUGCAGAUUCACAAAGUGGACACCCUCGUCUCAUACAAGAACGACGAAUGGGAUGAAGAAGAGUAGUAGCACCAAGUCUCUUGCUCUGCUCUGCUCUGCUCAGCCAGCGUUUUCCUUUUCUCAUGUUCUUGAAUGUCAAAGUGAAUCCUUUAUUCACCUAUGUUGUUUCCUGUUUUUCUUCUUUCCGGAUUGUUUCGAGAAUAAUAAACCUUUGUUGUUGAAUAGUUAUCAGCUUUCUCAUUGUCUCUGUCCCUUCUUGCAUUAAACAUUAUGUUUACAAAAGAAACAAAACAUAUCCUUGAAUAAUUCUUCUAGCUUUUCGUUAGUGGUUGUUCCCUCAUCUCAUCCCUUGGUACAAGACACCAGGUUGAAAAUUACAAAAAAAAAGACACCAGGUUGAAGAUCACCAGUAUUGUCUAUGUUCCGAACCAUACUAUUUAUCUCCCAUGAUGUUGGAGAUGGAGUGUUAAUAGAAAUCAAUCAGAACGAGUCUUGUCUGAAACAAACAUGUUUUUACUUUUUGCUCAUCUUCGCUUAAAGAAAAAAAGCAAUUGGAAAAAAGUCUCAUACAAAGAUUAGAGGAUGAAAAUUAUACAAACAAUCCUGUUAACUCAGCAUAGCUUAGUAUUUACCUUGUUUACUGGGCUGCAUGAACAGAAAAUAAUCCAAAGUCAACAUUUUUUUAUUUUAUUUUAUAACAAAUAGAUGUCUUAAUCCAAAACGACAAUUGUUCAACAAAGAGGAAAACGAACAUAUUUAUUGCACGAAAAUAGUUUCUAGACAGUUGAAAACGAUCUCCAUUGAGCACAGAUCACACCUGAUAGAAAAAAAAACACCGUCCUGGAGUCAGUAUCAUGUUUGAGAAGCACGUCUAAGAGACCAGAGAUCAUAUCUAUGGAUAUAUGCAAAUUUACCUUCAUUUAAAUGGAGUUUAUGAUGACUGUCAAGAAUGCAGACUAACCAUGUUCUUCAAAACAUAUUAGGGCAAAUGAUCUUCUGGUUCUUAAUCUAACAUGUAGAACUCAUUGUUUCCCUUUUAUGGCUUCAACAAUCCCAAACUCUUCUUCUGCAAUUCUCCAAAUCCAAACUCCAACCCACUAAAGCAGAUGACAAAUCAAACUAAAGAGACUCUUUCUUGGCUUUUCCUUUUAUCCUGAACUUUUCUCAAAACCAAUUUAGCCACACUCAUCAAGAUGGCAGACGCCAACCUUGUUCUUCAUCACACUAACUACCUCUUUCCAACUUAUAGCAGAGUUGGAAAGACUCUUCUCUAAGUCUCCACUCCAACUCCCAACUGCAACCCACAAACGCUGAUGACGAACCACACUACUGAGACUCUUCCUUUAUCCGGAACUUUUCUCAAAAACUAACUCAGCCACAUCAUCAAUAUAGCAGACACCGACCUGUUCCUCACACUACUAUACCUCUUUCCAACUUAUAGCAGUGUCGGAAAGAGUCUUCUCGUGUUCUUCUCUGAGUCUCCAACCCACAAAAGCAGAUGACAAAUCACACUACUGCCACUCUUUCUUGGCUUUUCCUUUUACAUAAUCUUUUUUCUUUACCCUGAAGUUUCUCAAAACCAAUUAAGCCCCACUCAUCAAGAUAGCAUACGCCGACCUUGUCCUUCAUCACACUACUCUUACUUCUUUCUUUCUAACUUAUAGUAGAGUAAGAAAGACCCAUCUCGUGUUCUUAACUCCAACCCACAAAAGCAGACGACAAAUCAAUGCUUUUCCUUUUUACAUAAUCUUUUUUCUUUAUCCUGACCUUUCUCAAAACCAAUUAAGCCCCACUCAUCAAGAUAGCAUACACCAACCUUGUCCUUCAUCACAUUACAACACCUCUUUCUAACUUACCCAUCUCGCGUAGUCUUUCUAACUUAAUCUCUCUAACUAUGCCAUGACAAACUCUUCUUGUCUACUCUUCACCCACCAAAACUACUCUGCUUCUUACUUCCAUAUUCCUAUUCGAUGAUUCUUUUCUUUUAAUUCUGACUUUCCACAAUCCAAAAUAAACAUAUUAAUAUAUGUACAGACACCUACAUCUGAUACUAUGGCACCUACAUCCAUGAGCAGACACAUUUCCCACAAACUACAUCACACCAAUAAAGAUCUGAGCCAUUCAAUACAGAGUGAAAAGAAACGCUCAGAUGGAAUUUUCCACCUCGAGAGGUAACUUAGGGGACUGCUUCGAACAAUCAGCGCACAAAAACUCCAGACAGAACGUUUCUUCGUAUUCACUGUCAUUGAUGCACCGACCACACUGAAAACACCUCUGUAUGCAAAGAGAACAAGCACGACAUUCCUCCUUCCCUUUACAAUCUUCUGCUGGACAGUCAUACACAAGCCUAGCGUUCUGACAUUUUGGGCACAUCUCAAUAUCCAGCACCGUGUCAUCAUCAUCGCAGGACACACAUGAGGAGUCUCCUCUAUGGUAAAAACGCGGCUUCUGUAUAGACUGCUCCACAUUGUUGUCAACGUCUAACAAGCCAAACAAUUCAUCGUAGUGAUCUUUAGUAACUCCAAAGAUGCCACCGAUCUCUAACUGCUUCACUUGAGGAUUCCCCGCAGAGUUCAGAUCUCUCAAGAUGCUCAAAACGCCAUCGAUAGUGAUCCUUGUGCAUCCAGACACGCCAAGCUGCCAAUCAUAAAAUAAUAUUAGGCUUAAAAUAAUAUAUAUAAAAAAGCUUACAGAUUUGGCUAAUACUCACCUUAACUACUUGUGGGUUACGCUCCAUGACCCGCUUAAGACAAUCAUCUGUAACUCUCGAGCAAUCCACGAGCCUCAAACACUGCAUAGUGCCCUGAGCCCGCUCGGUUAACUGCAGAAGAGCCUCAUCAGUGAUCUUCUCAUUCAACGGCUGACAAAUGUGGAUAUGUUUCCACAGAAGCGAGUCAUCACAGACAGUCGUAUGCAGAGACUUGCAAACCAUACUCGCUGAGAGAAGAUCCUUCACUCCCAAGCGAUAAAGACAAAAACCAAACGCUGGAUGAACGUGUGCAUUCUCAUUGGUGGUGCAGCGACCACUGCUUUCUCCAACCUCAUCCACACUACUAGUGGAUAAGAAAGCAUCAUUAGUGUACACAUUGCUCUCUGGAAACUCCUGAAACCGCAUUGCAUUGUUCCAAAUGAAACUCAACCCGGCAAAGAGUUGGUGGCUCCCAUCACCAACCCAAACCUCAUCUCUCCCAUACCGGCUACAAUCAACCUCCAGAUCCUCAAGCCAUCCAGUGAUAGCAGUGAAAGUAUUGUUGAUAUCCAUUCCAAACGGAUCAGAGGGCAAAACAUCAAGUAUGUCAACAGAAGCUGAAUCUCCAUACCCAUUGGCUAUCUUCAUUGAUUCAUCAGAUAGAUGGGAAGAAAAGUGUCUACGUGAAAAAUUCAACGCCAUUCCUAAAAGCCUACACUUGAAAAAACCUAAAAUCACUUUGUACAGAGAAUACCUAAAAAGGUAGAAACCAAGAUCAGAUCCGGACAAUGAUAGAUCUACGGAGAAAGGAGACUCUUUGAUUUCAGAAAAAAAAUAAUAGGCACUGAAAAUUUUCAGAGCUUCCUUUGUUUUAGAAAGUAAUAAGAAAUCGAAACUGAAAUGGGAUAAAGACGAAGACUUUCUUAUCAGAUUGAGUAAAUUGGAGAAACCCUUUUUUGCCCACGAAGAACUAAACCGAACCCUCGCUGCGAAAUGAACAAAGAUCUUCUUUUUUUUUGACUGGGGAAAUCUCAAAAACUUUCGAAUUGGGAAUGUAAACGACGAAGCAAGUUUCUUCCUUCUUGGUUAAGGGAAUGAAAGAGAGUUAGAGAGAGAAAUGGGUUGGUGAAAUUGGUCGAGCGAGAGAAAACGACGGGAAAUUUUGUGCGAGAGAAAUCUCCGGUGGAGAUGAUUUUACGAGGGAGCAAAGGGAUUAUAAGUCUAGGGUAACGGUGAAAUCGUCAAAGACUUUAGGGAGAUGGACACGUGUCAGUUGUUUAGUCAUCUGUAAUUCUGACUCGCUGUUUGAUUUGUCUGACAAAUUUUGGAUAUCUGAUUUACUACUAACAUUAUCUCAACUUUAAAUAUGGUUAAUAAGUAGUAACGAAUUUGGCAGGCAGCAAACACCUUUUUGUUUUUUAGCUUAACUUUUGUAAUUAAUAUAGUUUUUCUUUGUUGGAGUCCUGUUACAAGAAAAGAAGAAAGAAAAAAUGUUUAAGCAGAUACUUGGGAAGCUUCCUAAGAAACCUUCUUCUGCUAAGUUUUGGGACAAUGGUGAAUCCCAAGCUCCAGAUAACAGCCAUCAUCAAGGUGAUGAUGAAGUUAGAAGCCAAAGUUCAUCAAAUGGAGAUUGUGUUUCUGUUGAGGUAUUGCCAAGGUUGAAAGAUGUUUCCAUCUCAGAGAAGCUUAGAUUAUGCUGUGUAGUGUUUGAUUUCGCCGCGGAGCCUCAAGUUAACCUGAAGGAGAAAGAGAUCAAAAGGCAAACACUUCUUGAAUAUGUUAUCUCUUCAGGGAAUGCGAAGUUCCCUGAAUCAGUUAUUCAAGAAGCUGUGGAGAUCGUUUCGGCUAAUCUCUUCUUCUUUUUUUUGUUUGGGCAACCUCUUUAGUAGUAGUAAUACUCACCAACAAUGGAAGAAGAACAAAACACAUGCAGGAUUGGAUUUGGAAGAAGCAGAAGAAGGAUCUUUGAACCCUUCUUGGCCUCACUUGCAGACUGUUUACGAGUUCCUUCUAAGACUCGCGUUGCAUCUCCCAACACAGACGCCAAGAUAUCCAAGAAAUACAUCGAUCCCACAUUCGUUCUCAAUCUAUUGCAUUUGUUCGAUUCCGAAGAUCAGAAGGAGAGAGAGAGUUUCUCAAAACAAUAGUUCAAAGAAAUCAUGUUCUUGAAUGAAUUGGAGGAGAUCUUGGAAGCUACUCAAGUAACCGAGUUUGAACGGUGUAUGGUUCCGCUCUUUCGCCAAAUUGCUCAGUGCUUGAGCAGCUAUUACUUUCAGGUCCAAGUUAGUUUCACUUACCGUUUUUUGUAACUGUUACAUGAAUCUUACUGCUUGUGUGUGUUUAUGUAGCGGAACGGGCUCUAUACUUAUGGAACAAUGAUCAUGUCAGUGACUUGGUGAGACAGAACAGUAGAAUCAUUUUACCGAUAGUGUUUCCGGCUCUAGAGAAAAACGGUAGUAGCCAUUGGAAUCAGACUGUUAAGAACUUGACUGAGAACGUUCUUAAGGUUUUAUCUGAUACAAAUCCAGAAUGUUCGCGCAAGUUUCAAGAAGAUCAGCAAAAUGAAGAGGAUACCAAGAAGAAGAAUGGAGAAACCUGGAGACAGCAAGAGGAGAUUGUUAUCAAAUGGCUAAGUAAUAGUUUUUUUUUGCACUUUUUGAUUUUUUUUUUUUUUUUUUUUGCUGGUCUUUACGCCUGAAAGGUAGUAUACAGUUUGAGAGAUGUUAGCCAAGAUGUUUGUCCUCUUUCAGUUCUUGAUUUGUCUGUCUGUAUACUUCUGUUCGUGUAAACAUAAGACACAAAUUUUAUAUUGUCUGAAAGUCAUUUAGUUUACUCUAAUAUUAUAUGAUUUAUGAUGAUCUCACUCUGGAAAACAAUUUUGUUUUUUAGUGUACAGAGGAUCUAUUGGCAUUUUCCUGCAAGAAUCUUUGGCUUAUGUCUGUUAAAACUGUCUGUUACAAAAGGUUUCUUCUUCUUCUUCUUCAUCUAACAACAACACCUAAAACAGAAACCAAAAGAAACAGCGAUGACUCUUGCUCGGUCUUUCAUCAGAAGUUUUCACCAGAAAAGUCUCACAACAAGAGUUGAAGUGAUCUCCAGAGACAUCAUCAAACCAUCAUCUCCAACUCCAAACCAUUUAAAGAACUUCAAACUCUCUCUUCUAGAACAGCUCGGUCCAACGAUCUUCGGCCCCAUGUUGUUCUUCUACUCAGCUAACUACAGAAUCAAACAAACUGAACAGCUGCUGAACCUCAAGAAGUCCUUAUCCGAAACCUUAACUCACUUCUACCCUCUCUCUGGGCGGCUCAACGGCAACACAAGCAUCAACUGCAACGACUCGGGCGCCGACUUCCUUGAAGCACAAGUUAACUCCCCGCUUUCAAACCUCCUACAAGAGCCUUCUUCGGAGAUGUUAGAACAGCUGAUUCCAACAUCAGUUGAUUCAAUAGAAGCAAGAACCAAAUUGCUUCUCGCUCAAGCAACGUUCUUUAAAUGCGGAGGCAUGGCUAUAGGAGUCUGCGUCUCUCACAAACUCGCCGACGCAACUUCCGUGGGCUUAUUCAUGAAGAGCUGGUCUGCAAUCACUUCCCAAGGAUCGAUCAAAACCGUUGGAUCCCCUGUUUUCGACACUCUCAAGAUCUUCCCACCUGGUAACUUCUCAGAGACUUCCCCUGCUCCGGUCGUUGAGCCGGAAAUCAAGAUGAACCAGACUCUCUCGAAGAGAUUCGUCUUCGAUUCUUCGAGCAUCGAAGCUCUGCAAGCGAAAGCUUCGAGCUUUGAAGUUACUCAACCCACAAGAGUCGAAGCUGUUUCAGCUUUUAUAUGGAAACUUGCGAUGAAAGCAACAAGAACGGUUUCAAGAACCUCGAAACCGUCGAUCCUCGCGAACUCCGCUAGCUUACGCUCUCGCGUCUCUCCUCCGUUCACGAAGAACUCGAUCGGGAACCUCGUGAGCUACUUUGCGGCGAAAGCAGAGGAAGGAGAGAAACAGAGAAAGCUUCAGACUUUGGUCGCGGAGAUACGAAGAGCGAAACAGAGGUUUCGAGAUGACCACAUACCAAAGCUUGUCGGAAACGGAGACGCGACGGAGGUCAUCUGUAACUACCAGAAAGAAGCGGGGAAUAUGAUCGCGAGCGGAGGUUUUGAUUUCUACAUCUUGACGAGCGCGUGUCGGUUCGGUUUGUAUGAAAUUGAUUUCGGUUGGGGUAAACCGGUUUGGUUUGCGUUUCCUUCAGUUAGACAGAAGAACAUUGUGGCGCUUGUUGACACGAAAGAAGGCGGUGGGAUUGAAGCGUGGGUGAAUUUGAAUGAGCAAGAGAUGAAGCUUUUUGAAGAAGAUAGAGAGUUGCUUGAUUUUGCUUCUGUGAAUCCUAGUGUGAUCCAGCCUUUUCUCCAUGUUCUCUGAUUAUGAGUCCGGUUUAGUGAUGUAAACCGGAUUUCUUUUGUUGAAUUGGUUAUGUACUGAGGUUUUGGAUGUUCAAUUCUAGCCGAAGUAAUUAAAUGUAUAAAAUUAAAAUAAUGUUUUUUUGACAAAAUGUCAAACCAUGUACAAUAUUAGAUUUUCUACUAUAGUGAAAACUGUCUUCCCAAUAAUCAAAUCUGUUUUUAAUUGGUGUUAACUGUUAAGUAUAAUGAUAAAUGAUGCUUAAUUAAUUAAUUUGUUGGUAUAAAUUAUUAUUAUUUUAAUUUAAACUAGAUUUUGACCCGCGUUUCGAAAACACGGGUUUUAUGGGUUAUAUACGAAGUUAGAUAUGAGAUAGUAUUUUGAGUAUAUUGUGUAUUAUUAUGUUAUAAAGUCGUAUUAUAUUGAAUACAAAAAUUUGUUUAAAAUUAUAUAACUUAUGAAUAAGUUUAUUUGAGAUUUUUUAUAUACACUCUUAGGUAACUCUUUCUUAAGUACGAAAAUUUUAUCCAAAUUUGAUAAACAAACCAAACCAAUACGAAAUAAAGGUUGAGGUUCGGGAUUAGGGAAAAAAUACCUAUUAGAUUUUUUUGGACCUGCGGAUCUCUGUUGGACCUUUGGGUACUCAAAGUACCUCGAAUGUUUUGUUCAUAUUAUGUAUAUUUGAAUAAUUUAUAUAUGUUCUCAGUAUAAAAAUAUUAUUGUAAAUUUUGGAUUCGCGUUUUCUGUUAUAGUUUCAGGUUUUGGGUAAAAUUUUAAAUUUUAAAACUAUAUUUAAAAUAUUGGAUAUUUUUGGUUCUCGAGUAACAUUUUGGUCUUUUAGAUAUUUAGUUAUUUCUGGUAUUUGUUUGAUUUUGGGUAUUUUUGUGUUCUGAUUUUUUGGCUUUUCAGAUUCUUUAGAUUUUUUUUGUCUUAAAUACUCGAACCGAGCUAGACUCAUUACGUAGCCAAAUUACAUAGUAAAUUUUACAAAUACUUGAAUCAUUAACUCAAACUGACCUGGAACUAAAAGGAAUUGAUAUGAACAAAAAAAUUGAAAUACAUAGUUGGAUAUAAAUGUCCAAGACCCAAAGAACUUGUACCUCAAAGAAACUGAUUUAUAUUUGAUCUGAAGACCCAAAUGCCCAAAUCUAACCUUUCAUUAUAUUUUUUUGCAUUUUAUAAAAGUUACAUUUGUUCAGUUGGUGAAACUUAAGAUUUAUUUGAGAGGUUUUUGGCUAAUUUAAUAGUUUAGAUUUGUAGAUUUUUUGUUGAGCAGUAAAAAAAAGAUUUGUUGGGUUUUUGAUAAUUUUAAAUUUAUCUUAAAUAUUAAAUUAUUAUUUAUCAAUAAAAUUAACAUAAUAUAUAAUUUUUAAGUUUAUCUUAAUUAUAAAGUUAAUGAGACAUAUUUAGAGAAGAAUAUAAUAAAGUGUAUGUGAUAUUAUAUUUUCGUGAACCAAAUUUAUGUGAUCGUAUAUAGUAUAAUCUUUUCGUUUCCAAAAAAAUAUGAGUCCAAUAAAUAAAAUUUUUGACUAAAUAAUUGUUAGAAAAAUUUAAAAUAACAUAUUGUUUGUCCAAAUCAAAGAAAUACCAAAAUAUUACUAGUUAAUGAAAAAGUAAUUUUAAUAUAUAAAUAAUUCAGUAAAGAAAAUGUUUACCGGAAGAGAGAAAGUGUUGUCUGGUCAAAAAAGGUCAGCUGGGAAACAGAAACGUGAACAAUGGUGAGACUGAGACGUCGUUCUUUGUGCGGCGAAUUGGUGAAUUUUCAAAGUUAAAAUCUUUUUUUGGUUUCCUAAAUUAUCCAACUUCGAUAAACUUUAAAAAAACCCAGAAUCGAGUGGAGGAGAAAGAUCUGAUAUGCAAUGGCGAGUGGAUGUGCUAAACGAGGUGGUUGUCCUAGCGAUUACGUCGCCGUUUCAAUAGCUGUCAUCUGCUUCCUCGUGUACGUUCCGUUCCUUCUUCUUCUUCUUCUUGAGAUGGUUUGCUUGUUGACUCUUUACUUCGGUCGCCUUCAACUAGAAAGUAUCGAUUUUUCGAUAUACUACUUUUGGGUUUUUAGCCGUUAAAUGUUCGUGUGAUGUCUCUCGCUUAUUUACUUUUUUGCCUUUUAAGUGUUUGAUGUUAUGACUCAACAGAGUUACUUUGUUUAUACGAUCCAAAGGAUCUGUCUUUUGCUGGAAAAUUAGCAAGAUUCAAAUACUUAUGUCUAAUGAUUUUGAUUUGAAGUUCGAUGGAAAGCAUCGUUCAGUGUUAGUGAAUCUUUUAUCAUAAUCAUCUUCAAUUUCUUAAGUUUGAUCUGAUUCACUUGUUUAUUACCAGGCUUCUGUCUCGAUCGGUCUUACCAUGUUUGAUACACAAAGCUCCUCGUAACAACAGUAGCAGUUUCUGGAUCCCUGUCAUUCAAGUCUUCUCCAGUUUCAAUCUUCUAUUCUCUACUAUGGUUAGAUAAUCGAUUGGGCCCUUAAAGAAUCACUUCAUCUGUAGAGUUUCUACAAGUAAAUAUUUCGAAAAAUUCACUGUUAUUUAUUCUUUUCAGAUGUCCAUUAAUUUGCUUCAGUUCAAGACGAAGCACUGGUGGCAAUAUUGCUAUCUUUGGUCAGGUUUGUUUGUAAACAAUGUGUUCAGAAACAAGUGGUUCCCUUUCCUUGUACAGUUUGAUCAAUGUUAAUUUUUUUGUUUCAGUGUGGGUCGAAGGACCACUUGGGUUCGGUUUGCUGAUGAGCUGCCGUAUAACUCAGGCCUUUCAACUAUACUUCAUAUUUGUCAAGUAAGAAUAAAUCUGAAUAGUCCUAUAACUCUCUCGAUUGGUUUAAUUGUGUUUCUUUGUGAUCAUGUAGGAAACGUCUUCCUCCUGUAAAGUCAUACGUCUUUCUUCCACUUGUUUUGUUGCCAUGGAUCUUUGGAGCUGCAAGUAAGCUUUAUACUAGCUUUACGCUUGCUUUUGUUGUAUAAUAGCUCACAGUCUUUUGAUUCUGCUUUUAGUUGUCCAGGCAAAAAGGCCUCUCGACUCUCAAUGCCACAUGGGUCUUGAAUGGACUUUACCAGUUGCAGGCUUAAAUGCUCUUUACGUCCUUGCUUUACUUGCAUUCACAAGAGCUAUACGUCAUGUAGAGUUUCGCUUUGAUGAGCUUAGAGAUCUCUGGAAAGGGAUUCUCGUCUCAGCCACUUCAGUCGCUUUAUGGGUAACAUCGUUUGUGUUGAAUGAGAUUCAUACAGACACCUCUUGGCUUCAAGUCACCUCAAGAUUUGUGCUUUUAGUCACGGUAUGAACCUCUACCAAGAUUCUCUGCUUAUCAUAAAGCAUUUCAAACUAAUGCUGGGCAUUCGGGUUUUCGGUUCGGUUUUUGGGUUAUUCGGAUUGGGGUAUUUAAGACCUGUUUAGGAACCGGACAUUUUUCUGAGCAUCGGUUUGGAUAGUAUUGGGUUUUGGUUGGGUUUCUAUUUUUUUAUAAAACCCGAAGUAGAACCAAAUUAGAAAUAGUUCGGGUUUGGUUCGAAUUUUUUUCGGGUUUAAACCCCAAAAACCUACCCCCAAAAAAACCUGAAUUAAACCCAGAAAAACGAGAAAAUAUUUGGAUGUUCGCGUUUUUUGGAUAUUUUUAUUAUAAUUAAAAUUAAUUAAUAUUUUUUAUAAUUAAAAUUAAUUAAUAUAUAUUUUAUUAUAUUUGCAAUAUUCGGUACCGUUUUCGCUUUGGUUUUGUUUUUUGGGUUAAAAAAAAUAGGAACCAUUCGACUUUGUAAUUUUUGGUCCGGUUUCGUUUUCUUUAGUUUCGGAUAAUAUGCCCAAGACUAUUUUAAACAGACUUCAGAGUUAAAUUAUGUUUCUUGUAGGCUGGGAUUCUUGUCAUUGUCUUCUUUUCCAUCUCGAGCCACCAACCUCUACUCUCACAAAUCAGCUUCAAGAACAGACAAGAGUUUCCAAGAAUGGGACUAGCUCUAGGCAUUCAUGAUAGUGGAUUAUUGUUUCGUAAGGAGGAGGUUCGACCUGUUGAUCCAAACGAGCCACUUGAUAAGCUUCUUCUUAAUAAAAGGUUUCGAAAGUCGCUUAUGGAGUUCGCGGAAAGGUAACACUCUGUUUUGAUGUCUGCCUUCAUUUUGCAUCCCAUGUUUAGACAUUUUAUAUAAGGUUGUAAUCUUUGUAUGUUAGCUGCUAUGCUGGAGAAACAUUGCAUUUCUAUGAAGAAGUGUAUGAACAUGGUAAAAUCCCGGAAGGUGAUUCUAUAAGAAGAAUCUACAUGGCUAGACAUAUCAUGGAGAAGUUCAUCGUCGCAGGUUUUAUCAUCAUCCAUCUUCUUUCUUCUUCUUCUUCUUCAUAAACAGGUCUCAGGUGUUGUCUCUUUAAACACAGGAGCGGAAAUGGAAGUGAAUGUAUCACAUAAAACCAGGCAAGAGAUCUUAACCACUCAAGAUCUAACUCACCUUGAUCUCUUCAAGAAUGCAUUAAAUGAAGUGAUGCAAUUGAUCAAAAUGGUAAAACAACAUUCUCUCUUUUACUCUCUUCCUCCUUAAUGAAAGCUUAUUCUUUUGGUUCUCAUUUUCUUUAAUAAUAUUGAAGAACUUAGUGAGAGAUUACUGGUCAUCCACCUUCUUCAUCAAGUUCAAAGAAGAAGUGGCAAUGGAUAAGGAAGGAUGGAGUCUCUCUCCUCCAAGGAUGAGUUUAAUUCAAGGCUCUGAUGAUCCUUUCUAUCAAGAACAUAUGUCAAGGAGCUCCACUUCUAGAUAUAGCAGUCCUAGUUAAGGACUCUUAACCGGUACUUAUCCAGAACCUAAACCGUGUUUUUAACAUACAGUAUCUUGAUGUUCAUAGCAAUCCAGUCCAUAUAAAUUUCUCCUUCACAUUUCUUGUACAUGUCUUUUUCUAUAAUGUUCUGUUUUGAUUAUUAUAAUAUUCGUUUGUAAUUUAAAAAUGGGAAAUAUAAUUGUAGAUGAAGACCCAACUUGCACUUUGUAUUGUAGUUUACCAGGUUGGUAUUGCUUCCACGCCUUAUACAUAUCUUCUUAUCAAUUUUUGUGUUAGUUCAUAAAGUUAGAGAAACAUACACACCAACUCAUUUUCAUACACAAUAGAAACAAUUGUUAGAACAACCCCAUAUUUAUUCACUGUGAAUGUCAUUACAUGAAAACCAAACUAUUAAGAUGGAUUCAAGAAGUUGUUUAUAGAAGAAAAAAAACUUGAGGAUGUCAUCAUAGUGAUCCACUAUGUCAGGAUGCAUGAUCAGUAGCGUACUAACAAUAAAUUAAUAGUAAUAUAUAUCCAAAGGAUGAGGCUAAAUUGUUCCACCACUCAAACUCUGUUUUGGAUGCACACGUAGGUAUGUAUGUAUACAUGCAUUCAUAUAUGAAUCAAGAUGUUACACUCCAUUACAUUAUAGGUAUACACACAUAGAUACAGUUACUCGAUGUUGUAAUAGAGAGAGAUCUUAAUUGCUUAAUAAGACCGCAUAAAGAGACGCCACAACUUUCUUUCCUCCUCUCCAUUUCACUUCCCUCAACGCAAACUUUGCAGACUUUCCGAGGAUUAAAAACAAAUAUUCUAACUAAAAAAAGGAGAAAUUUGCGGUAAUUCUCUUGUGAAAUUCGAUUUACCGUCAAUUCUCUAGAAAAACAUUCCUUCACAUCCCUUUUUCUUUUCUUCUCAUAAGCUCUGAUCAGACAACAAAACCAAACUAAGAAACCCUCUUCGUCUGUCUGAAAAAAAUCAAAGGUUCGGUUCUUGUUGAUGAUGAUGGUUUGAUGUAGAUGGGUUUUCAGAAAGUUCCCUCCUUUUUGAUCCUUCUGAUGUGUGUUUCCAAUUCAAAUCGAUUCAAAUUUAAGUUUCCUUAUACAGAGGAGAAGGAGAAGACUCCUUUGCGUGUGACAAACAGUUUUCUUUUAUCUUCUUCCCUAUUCAGAUCCUCUUAUCGUUUAAUAAUUACCACACUUCUCUUUCAAGUUACAGAUUCUUUCUCUGUUCUUGAUUAGACACAAGAAAAGAAGUAACCUUUUUCGUCUUAUAACCCAUAAAGUUGCUUCCUUUUGAUGAUCAUGACUUGGAUCUUCACUGGCUUUUGUAGAUCAAAUAGUACUUACUUGUUAUAAGAUUAGAGUCUUGUUCUGUGUUUUUUUUUUCAUGAUUCAGUCAAAUCAAAGUUUGACUUUGUCUUAAUUUUUGUGGUUUAUAGGGAUAAAUCUGUCUUCUCACAAUGGAUGCUACAACGAGUGGAACUCCAGGUUUACAGUAUCAUAACUUACCUGAUCAACCUGUUGCGUCUCCUCCGGUGACUACAUUUCAAAGGCAAAAACGCCAACGCUUUGGAGACUCAACUCCUGGAGAGUUUCCUUUAGCAGCUAGCCCUUCCAUCGUCCUUCAUGUUCUCACUGAAUGUAGAUUGGAUCCUCGUGACCUCGCCAAUCUAGAGGUUCUUUUUUUUUCGAAUUAAAGUCUUAAAUCUUUUACUGAAAUUUCAAGAUAAUUUGUUGUUGUUUUGUUUGUUUAGGCGACAUGCUCGUUCUUUAGCCAGCCAGCAAACUUUGCACCGGACUGUAGUUUAUCCCUACCUGAGCUCGCCGCUCUCGACAUGUGUAAUAAAAGGAUGAUUUUCAAGCCGAUGAAGGAAGAAGAGCGUGAAGGAAUGAAACGUAGGUGCGGAGGUUCAUGGAAACUGGUACUUAGGUUUUUGCUUGCUGGUGAAGCGUGUUGUCGAAGAGAGAAAUCUCAAGCCAUUGCUGGUCCUGGUCACAGCGUUGCCGUCACUUCAAAAGGUCAAGUCUACACCUUCGGUUAUAAUAACUCUGGACAGCUAGGACAUGGCCAUACCGAUGAAGAACCUCGGAUUCUGCCCGUCAGGUAUGUCAAUGGUUUAGUGUUACAACAACCGGAACGGUUUUCACGAAGAAUGUGGUCUGUGUUUUGGUGCAGAUCAUUGCAGGGAAUCAGAAUCAUCCAAGCAGCAGCUGGUGCUGGUCGGACAAUGCUAAUAAGCGAUAAUGGAAGUGUUUAUGCGUGUGGUAAAGAUUUGUUCGGAGAAGCUGAGUACGGAGGGAAAGGGAGUAGACUGGUUACAACUCCUCAGCUUGUGACAUCUUUAAAGAACAUAUUUGUGGUGCAAGCGGCUAUUGGAAACUUCUUCACCGCUAUUCUCUCCCGAGAAGGGAAGGUUUAUACAUUCUCGUGGGGCAAUGAUGGUAGGCUCGGUCACCAGACCGAGGCUAAUGAUCUCGAGCCACGUCCUCUGUUAGGUCCGCUUGAGAAUGUACCCGUUGUGCAGAUUGCUGCUGGUUAUUGCUAUCUUCUUGCCUUGACUUGUGAACCAAAUGGCAUGUAAGUUCCUUUCCAUACACUCAGGGGCGGUCCUGGGAUUUUAGGGGCUAUAAACAAUUUAAUAUUAUUUUAAUAAAAUUUUCUUUUACGAAUUUGGAGGCUUUUCUUCAUUUAAAUUAUUUUUCAAAAAAAAAUCGGGCUAUAGGCCAAUGCUUCACUUGGCUGUGUAUACACUAUUUGCAAAUGACCUAAACCGGCUCUGACGCAGUAUCAUGGUUGUUUUAGGUCGGUUUAUUCGGUUGGUUGUGGUUUGGGAGGCAAGCUUGGUCACGGGUCGAAAACCGAUGAGAAGUAUCCUCGGGUUAUAGAGCAGUUUAAGGUAUUGAAUCUUCAACCUAGGGUAGUUGCAGCCGGUGCUUGGCAUGCGGCGGUGGUAGGUCAGGAUGGAAGAGUGUGUACUUGGGGUUGGGGAAGAUACGGUUGCUUAGGACACGGUAACGAGGAGUGUGAGUCAGUGCCUAAAGUUGUUGAAGGGCUAAGCCAUGUCAAGGCGGUUCAUGUCGCAACGGGAGAUUACACUACUUUUGUGGUCUCGGAAGAUGGAGAUGUUUACUCGUUUGGUUGUGGUGAAUCUGCUAGUCUCGGUCACCAUCCAGUCCUUGAUGAACAGGUUAGCGCUUGAUUAUGGCUUAGGUUGAUUAAAAAUUGAAAAUGUUGUUUUAAAAGAUAUGAGACAAGUAAACUAUAAGCACAAACGCCUUACUUGCGUUGCAAGCUAAUUUGAUUCUUGUUUUGUUGGUGUAGGGUAAUAGACAUGGGAAUGUGUUGAGUCCAGCGGUAGUAACAUCGCUGAAACAAGCGAAGGAGAGGGUGGUUCAGAUUAGUCUAACGAAUUCGAUAUAUUGGAACGCUCAUACCUUUGCGCUAACGGAAUCAGGGAAGCUAUUCGCGUUUGGUGCGGGUGAUAAAGGUCAGCUUGGAGCAGAGCUUGGUCGUGACCUAACAGAAAGGUGUGUUCCUGAAAAAGUAGAUAUCGAUCUCAGUUAGCGGUUGCCGGUUUGUUGGCGGUUUAGUUUGUUAUGGUUCAUAGAAUUUGGAAAGGUUUGUACAAAAGGUAGGGGAACAUAAGUUAAGGAACUUGUCUUAACAUUUUCAUUGUAUAGAUUUGUAGAUUUAUUCUAACUGUUCAUGUGUCGUGUUUUAGCCUUUAGGUUAUUUUGUUAAUAUCUGUUUGAAUAAUUUCAGUUAAUCAAUUUAUUAAGGUUCAUUUCUUUUCAGUUAAUCAAUUCGUGCCUUGUUCGCCAGAUGAAAUUACGGAUUUUUUUGUGGCUGUUUGACUUCAGUUUAGUUCACGAGAUAUCACUGCGUUUAGGGGACGGUAAAUUUAUGGAAGUAGGAUUGCUUGUGAGACACGGGAGUGAAGCCCAAUUGUAGAUUUAUGUGCACGCGCGAGUAACAUAAUGCGAGUAACAUAAUCUAUGGCUUAUUCUUGUUCACAGCCUGACAGUCUCACACCGUAAAUCUACCGUAGAAACAAUUGCAAGUGUUGUGUUCAAAAAAAAAAAAAAAAACAAUUGCAAGUGAAAAGUGAUAAUACAUGUUUUCAAAAUAAAAUAAUGAUGAUGUCAAAAAAAUAAAAAUAAUGAUGUGUAAUUUUCUAAGCAAAUUGUGAAAAUUAAAACAUUUUUCUUCCAUUUUUUCUAAUUAAAUCCAUUCAAAUCAUCUUAAAAAAUUUGUAAUCACAAAUUUAUAAAAUUUACUUAAAUUGUGAAUCCUUUUAAAUUUUAUUUGAUUUAGUAUAUAUUCCAAAAAUUCAAAAUACUUGAUAAUUAAAAACAUCUCCAUAUAAAUAAAAAUUCUAUUCACUAAUUUCGUUUCAGGAUUGAGACAAAUAUAGACUAAACUCCCCUUUCUAAGGCUGGGGAGAAGCUUAAUUAGGGGUUAGAAGAUAUGCCAUUUAAAUUGUUUUUGGCAAACCUCAAACUUCGCUUUUUGAUCAAACAAAUAAAGAGCCUAACAUUUAAAGAAAAGUUUUUUUUUUGCGGGAUUAUUAAUUAAUUAACUAACGUAUAAUGGCGCGCCUUCACCUAGUUCUCCUCCUCCUCCUUUUGGUUGCCGUCUCCGCGGUGUUGGUAUCAGCGGCUGAGAAACCACCAUCGGCGACCACGGCCGAAGCUCCCGCCGCAACAACUCCAACCGAUGUAGCGGAGGUUCCAGCUGGAGACGCCAACACCAUCGGAACAACCGACGACGAUGCAGCUGCUACUCCGGGAGAUGACGACGUAGCAGUAGCAGGUCCUAUCGGAAGCGAUUCUUCAUACGCAAACUAUCCGCCGGCUCAAGAAACUUCCGGAAGCUGUGUCACAUGCACGAUUGGCUUUGCUCUUAUCUCUGCUGCGACGGUUGGUUCGCUCUUCUUAAUUUUCUGAGCUGCAUGCGUGGAGUUAAGGAAAGUAAAUUAUAUGGUAAGUAUGGAUGUUUUGUAAUGUUUUUUUUUGUAGAUGUGUAAGCAUUUUGCUUGUCCCAUCAUCUAUAAGAUUAGGACGAUACAGAUCACCACAUCAUAAAACUCUUGUAUUUGAUAUGGCUCUAUGGUUUAGUCUUACUAUAUGUAUUGUGAAUAUCCCAAAUCCAGUAAUUUCGUGCAUGGAACCUAACGACAAUAACCACCUUUCACAUACGUAAAUGAAGAGACAAUGAUGAAAGAAAGACAAGUUAAACCAAAUGAUAGUAAAAGUUGAUUUAGGUAAAGUAAAUCGUUUAGUCAUGAGUUUGAUUUUUGAUGGGAAUAAAAUUGCCUUCAUGUCUCAUUAAAAAACAUUGGGACCGCCGAUUCUAUUAGUUUUCAAAGAAAUAGUUGAACUUCGGUCCAUACAUUCUAGCUAACAAAAAUACAAAGUUGUUUGUUUUCAAUACAAAAGAAAAAAAAGUUUCACCUAAUAAACAAGGCCAAAAUGAACUGAUUUUAAUUUUGAAGAGAGUGAUUGGUUGGGCUGUAAGAAGUGAAUUUAGCUUUAGCAAGAUUUUUUAAUCGCGCUACGUGCGGAUAAGAUAUUAUAUGUAUUUCUAAAUUUUAAAAAAUAAUGUAUAAUAUUGUAUUACAUUAUUUACAGAAUAUAAAAUAAGACUACAUAACAUAAAUAUAUUUUUUUAAAUUUUUAUGUGGAAAUCAUUAUGUUGUUUGAUUGUUGUACUUGAUUCACAUAUUUGCAUAGUUAUUUGUGAUAGAUGAAUAACUAUAUUUUUAUUAUCAGUAAAUAAUAUAUAUUUAUUAUAUAAUAUAAGAAAAAUAAAAUUAUUUACUUUUAAAACAAACUUGUCUCAUGUUGGGGACUCGGUUAUAGACAUAUCAUAUUCUAAUGAGAUAUUUUACAGUUAUCAAUCUUCUUAACAGUCAAGAAACAAAUCUGAAUAUCACAACAAUAUCUCAUACGAUCUCUUUGUGGAAUAACUGCUCUGAAGAAAUUGAAUUUAUGCAUAAAAAAAGACUGGAAAUAGAUGUGCAGAUGUGUUAUCUAAGUCAGCUUUACAAAAUACUAUUCAUAGUUCAUAUAUCAUUUAUGUCCAUCCUAUUUUUUUGUCCAUCAUUUCUUAAACAUCUUGAAAUAACUGAUGCUAAUUAAUAAUAAACUUUUGGCUGGAAAAAAAAUCAAAUUUGUCUAAUUAUCGCUUACUUUGUCUAACUGAUAUAUAUAUAUAUUUCUCAAUUCUAAAAAAAUAAUGUAUAAUAUUGUAUUACAUUAUUUAAAGAAUAUAAAAUAAGACUACAUAACAUAAAUAUAUUUUUUAAAUUUUUUUUGUGGAAAUUAUUAUGUUGUUUGAUUGUUGUACUUGAUUCACAUAUUUCCAUAGAUAUUUGUGAUAGAUGAAUAACUAUAUUUUUAUUAUCAGUAAAUAAUAUAUAUUUAUUAUAUAAUAUAAGAAAAAUGAAAUUAUUUACUUUUUAAACAAAAUUGUCUCAUGUUGGGGAUUCGGUUAUAGACAUAUAAUAUUCGAAAGUGACAUUUUUACAGUUAUCAAUCUUCUUAACAGUCAAGAAACAAAUCUGAAUAUCAAAAUAAUAUCUCAUACGAUCUCUUUGUGGAAUAACUGCUCUGAAAAAAUUGAAUUUAUGCAUAAAAAAGGAGUGGAAAUGAUGUGCAAAUGUGUUAUCUAAGUCAGCUUUACAAAGUACUACUAUUCAUAGUUCAUAUAUCAUUUAGGUCUAUCCUUUCUUAAACAUCUUGAAAUAACUGAUGCUAAUUAUAAUAAACUUUUGGCUGGCAAAAAAAAUCAAAUUUGUCUAAUUAUCGCUUAAAUAUUUUAUUAAUAUUGUCUAAGAAGCUUUCAAUUGAUAUCAUAGUUUAAUUUUUAUUAGGUUUUUUUGUUAAUUUUAGAGUUUUUUUUGUAUUUAAGAUUUUUUUCCAUAUUAAGCUUAUAUUUAUUUCACAUAAUAUAUAUAUAUAUAUAUAUAUAUAUGUCAUAAAAAUUACCAUCAAAUCAGUUUUACUUAUUUAUUAUUUUGAUUUUAAUGAAAAUACACUUUUUAAUAAUUUAAUUUAAAAUAAAAUUAUAUAUUAAUUUUUUGUAUUCUAACAAUUUGAUUGAUUUAAUUAAUUUGCUUUGGUGGAUAACUUAAAAAGUUUUUAUAUGAAUCGGGGAAAGCAAGCUUAUGUUGUUAUAUUAUAUUUAUUUGUGUAUAUGAAUCUAUAUAUAAUGCUAGUGUAAUAAAGAAAGAACAUUAUUUUUUUGUAACUUCAAAAAGAUACAUUAGUACAAUUUGAAAUUAUUCAAAAUUGAAUAAAAUUGUAAUUAAAUAAAUCUAAUUGUUUUUAUCUUGUUUAGCUGGAUUCUCAUGAAAAGAAAUCGAUAGGUUAAACAAAUGUUUCAAAAUUUGUUGUGUUAUUGUUUUGUCUAUAAAUUACAAAAUUUAUUGAAUUGAUAUAUUUAAUUAUUGCACCCUUAAAUAAUAUUUUAUUAAGACAUUAGAGAACUAUGUUUUGAGUUGUUUUGUCAAAAUUGUACAAAAUCUAUGCUUUUUCAUAUUUGUCACGAAAAUUUAUAUGUUAAACUUAUUUUUACAAAGUUCUUAACUUUGUCACGAAAACAAAAAUCUAUGUUUUUUUCAUAUUUGUCAAUGUUCUCACACUUUCAAAGAAUAUAUUAGCUUAGUCACUUACUUUUUUAUUUUACAAAACAAAGUAUCGGAGUCUUUAAAGUUGAAUCCAAAUUAUUGUAAAUGUACAUAAGAGUUUGUGAUUACAUAUUUAGUAAUUCUUGUAUAUGUGUCCAAGAAAGUUUCAAUGGCUUAGUGGUAUCUGCCCUAUAUUUAUGUCAUACUAACCUGGGUUCGAUCCUUUCCUUUACAUUAUUUUUCAUUUUUUACGAAAAAAUAAAUGAGAUGACAUGACAACUUCGGACUCUCUGAUUGGACGAUUUUUUGUGCCUACGUGGACACUCUAAGAGGGGCUUAUAUCUCCCUUUUAGUAUAGUAUAGAUUUUCAUUUACAGCUUUAAAUAUUAUCAAUCAUGUUUUAUCUUAGUUUUUAAAGUUACAACCAAAAAACUAAACCUACAACAAAAACAUACAAAAAAUGGUUGUAAAUAUCUUAUUUUCUAAAGCCCAAUCUUUUUAGCUGUAUGAAAUUUUAAAGCUACAUUCCUUAAAGUUAAAUCAAAAUAUUCUACAGACUAAAUUCUAAAGUAAAUUUUCUACUGUCUAACCAAAUCAUAUUUCCUUUUAGAUUUGUUCUUUUCACCUUAACAAAACAAUCCUAAUUAAUACCGGCUUUCACCUUAACAAAACAAUCCUGAUUAAUAGCGGCUGAAGAUUUACUCUGGAGCAAACACCACAGCCCUAUAAUAACAUGGGCCCAAAACACAAAAGGCCCAUUAAUGAAUUUUCAUAGUUUCAAUCUCUCCGCAUCUCUGUCUAUAAGAGCAAGACACUCUAAACCCUAAUUCUUCAAAUCACAGUCAAUCUCCAUAGCCGUCUCCAUUCUAUCCUUUUCAACAUUUUUCGUUUGGUUUUGUUCAAUUGAGAUCGCUUUCGAAAGGCGUUGCGCUCUUUGUCUCGGGAUUCACUUUCCCUGAAGGGCGUGUCACCGAAAGCGUACAUCAUUUUCAAUCCGAUCGCUAGGGAUGCCAACUUCGGACUCGUUCGAAUUAGCAAACCUCGACACUGAUGGCUGAUUAAACCGAUAUUGGUUGCCAUCUAUUAAUCGUGUUUGAGAAAUUUCGAAUCUAAAUUCAUAAAAUGAGUAUUUUGGGGGAUGUGAUAUAUGCUUCAUAAUGGUGAACUCUCUUAGAUAAAUAUAAAAGUGAGAGAUGUUCAAGUUUCCGGAGCAAACAUAAAACUGGCCAGAAUUAAACAGCGCUGUGUUUAUACCUAUUUUCACAGCGUUACCUGUCUUCUGGUAUAUAUCAAUUUCACAGAUUCCAUCGUCCCCAUAGUCGUCAGAGUUUUCAAGAUUAAGUUUGCAAUUGAUAAUCAGAUCAAUCUUGAAUCAAAAUAGUUUAACUAGGCUGUUCAUAAGAUCUUGUUUCAUUAAAAAUAAUGAUUAAUUUGAUUAAAUUAACAAAAAUCCUUUAUUACAUUUUUAGAUUGCUCAAAUGCUUAUUUAAAGACCCAAAAUUAGUGUCCCAAAAUAUUUUGUUGUAAAAGUAAAGUAGAUGGCUUCCGGGAUCAGGUUCCGAUCACAACUAAUUUAUUUUUAACCGAACAAUUUGAAACAUAACAGACUUUUAAUUUUAAUAUAUAUCAGCAAAAAGAAAACGUAUGAUCCAACCUAACUGAAAGUGAAAAACCUAAUGUAUGCAAGGGGAACCAGAACAAAACCGUUGAUGAGUAGCCUUCAUUCUUCCAGUUUUUUUACGCCACCACUGCCUAAUAAACACACAAUAAUUUUAAGUACCGAAUUACCCAAAAUCCGAAUAAAACUGGUCUGAAUUUGAAAGAUUACUCGAAUGCCUAUGUUUAGUUUUGCUUAUGAAUCAAAUUUAAAUAUGUAACAUUUUGUUUAUUGGACCUAGGCCUGGGCAUUUUAUUCGGACCCAAUCCGGAACCGUUCCGAAAAAGCAGGUUCGAUCAGGAACUGGAACCAAGCAUUUUACCCAAUUGGGUCUAGAGUUGGAAGACCCGUGAGUAGCAGGUUUGAGUCCAGAACUGACCCGGGACCCAACCGGAUAUUUUAUUAACCGGAAAUUAAUAGAUUCAAUGAGUCAUUUCUAACCCAAAUCACCCUUUAGUUCUUUACACUUCCCCAGCUUGUGAACAUUUUACUGUUGGAACAAUAAAGCCCAUUGGCUUUAUUAAAAUGUGAAUAGCAAAUGAUAUGGGUCUGGGCCCAUCAGAAAUGCUAAAUAAAUGAAAUGGUGAAGUGGGGAAAGUCCCACAUCGACCAGGAGAAACAAAUUUGAGGUGUUUAUAUAUGAUCCCAUGAUAUCAUGGGUUAAACAGCUUGAGAGAGGAGAAGGCUCCCCACGCGCGCGCCGCCGUCGCCGUCCGGCCGGCUCGGCUCGGCUCGGCGUGGCGUGGGCGUGGGCUUGGGCUUGGGCUUGGGCUUGGGCUUGGGUGGAGGGCCUUUGGCCCGAUAAGAACUAUUCUUUUUGGACCAAGUUAAGCUCAACGCUUUGCCAUUUAAUUCCCGAAAAAACGACAUGCAUUUUAUUUUAAACAACACGGAGUUCGUUUAAAAACAACACGCUGUCUCUCUUCUUGACGAUAAGUAUAAACGAGAAAAGAUCUUGCGGAGGAAGUUUCGUAACGCCUCACCUCCGAGAUCCUCGCGAGAUUUCCGCCAACGUGCGCACGUGCGGCAUCAGUUACGGAAAGUGGCUCGUCUUCUCUUCUUUAUAAACUCGUCUCCUCCUUCAUUUCUCUUAACGUUUUUACAACAAAAACCAGCAAAUCCUAUAGCGUAAGUCUAGAGAGUGUUUCGUAGAAAUAUUAGUUCGUUAGAGGUUCUUCACGAGUGCUGCGUGAUAACCUAUCAUGGUUUUAUCCUGGGACUCCUAUUCGUACAGAUCCGUCGCACUAACGGAGCGAAUAUUAAGAGUUAAGGAAAGAGAUUCGUCUCGACUCCAUGGUUUCAUUUCCGUUACGGGUUUGAAUCGUCUGUAUAUUUUCCUUAACGUCGUUUAUAUUAUAUCGUUUCUUUUGAUCCGGUUUUCCGGCUUCUACAAUCUUAACUCUUAAUCGCUUUACGUUUAAAGCUCGAAUCGGGUUGAAAAACGAUUUAUAAAAACGGGUUUUGGAACGCUGUUUGCGAUUUGCUUUCUAGCACUUCCGCGAAACGUUUUUUUAUUUAUCUCAUAAACGGUUUGCGUUUUGCUCUGUAGCACUACCGGAAAACGUUUUUUGAUAUACGAUUCGUAAAAACCUUUCGGGGUUCAAUCAAACGAUGUUUGCGAUUUGCUAUAUGCUUAUCCGCGAAACGUUUCCUUUUUUUGGUGAAAACGAGUUUGCGAUUUGCUUUAUAGCCCUUCCGCGAAACGUUUCUUAUUUAUUAAUAACGCUUUGCGGAUUGCUUUCUAGCAGUAUAGCGAAACGUUCUAUAAAUGAAUCGUUUCAAGAUCGCUUUCUUAAGCGAGUUUGUGAAACAUUCUAAGUCUAUAAAAUAUGGUUUCUGCGAACGCUUAUAAGCGAGUUUGCAAAACGUUUUUUCAAGACUUAUAUCGAUAUGAUUUGGUUCAAACACCAAAAAUGAACAUCGAUUUUAGAUUAUUAUUUUCUUUAAAAUAAUAUGUUAAUUGUUGAAUGGAGUACUAAUCCGUUUUCAUGUUUUCUCUACAGGAAAAUGACAAACGAGAACGACACCCCCACUCCCAUGGACACCUCGGAUGUCAUUCAGACUCCACUCAACGCUGCAGCAACUGGCGUGACAACCGCUGGAAACAUCACAGCGUCAACCACUGCAGCAACAACGAGCACUUUCCUCCCUGCGGGGAAUGCUGCUGAUGAAACCACUCGCCGUACCCUAUUCGGUGCUGGUCUUUAUCAGACGGGCUCAAUUUCAGCAACUGCAAGUGGUCCGGUGGCAGUUCAAACUCCUCCGACUGUCCCUAGUGUGUUCACUCAAGGACUGAUGCCAAACCAAUUUGAUGGCAAAGGCUUCAAAACGUGGCAGAAGAAGAUGUUGUUCUUCCUGGCAACGAUGAAGCUGGAGAAGUUCCUCCAGGAGGACAAGCCCCUUAUGCCUUACGGGAUUGAUGAUGUUCACAGCCUCGCAACUGUUGACAUAUGGGUGCAUUCCGACUUCAUCUGCAAAGGCUACAUUUUGGGUCGCCUCAUUGACCCAUUGUACCGUGUCUACUGUGAGAUCCCCACGGCGAAAGAGCUAUGGAGAUCACUAGACAAGAAGUACAGAGGUGAGGACGCUGGCUGCCAGAAGUAUGUGGUCUCAAAAUUCCACGACUUCAAAAUGGUGGAUUCAAAACCCAUCAUGGAUCAGGUGGAAGCGCUUCAGCUCAUUUGCCAUGAAAUCGCUGCUGAAGGAAUGUCCAUCUGCGAGACAUUCACAACUCUCAGCUUCAUUGAAAAGCUUCCUCCAAGCUAUGCGGAUUUCAAGAACUACUUGAAGCACAAGAAGAAGAAGAUGGGGCUCGAGGAGCUCAUCACGAGGCUUCAGAUGGAAUCCAGAAACCGAACUGCUGCAAAGGUCGGUACAAAGGAGCACAGUGUCAACAUGGCUGAGCACAAAGGCAAAGGAAAGGCAUACGCCUAUUCUCCUGCCAAGCCUUCCAAAACUGCUGCAGCCUUGAAGGCUUCUGGAAAAAACUUCAAGAACAAAGGUAUUGAGAUCAAUGCGAAUGUGGAGAAGUUCAAGGGGAAAUGUCACUACUGCCACAAAGUGGGGCAUAAGACUGUUGAGUGUCGCAAAAAGAUCAAGGAUGAGAAGGCUCAGGCAAAUCUCACUGAGGAGGAUCUCGUUGCUGUGGUGACUGAAGCAACAUGGUUGAAAGCAACAACCCCAAGGAAUGGUGGUAUGACACUGGUGCAACCACCCACAUUUGCACCGAUAGGGCGAUGUUCAGCACCUAUCAGAAAAGCAAGACUGAAGAGAAGCUCAAGAUGGGAAACACUGCAGUCUCCAAGAUUGAAGGACGCGGCAAUGUGAUCUUGAAGAUGACAUCUGGACGUGAGGUCACUCUGACAAAUGUGAAGCAUGUGCCUGACAUGAGGAAGAACCUGGUCUCGGGAACCUUGCUCAGCAAGAAUGGAUUCGCCACAAGCUUUGAGGCGGAUAAGCUCGUGAUUAGGAAGAAUGGGAUGUAUUUGGGAAGGGGUUAUGUUAAGGGUGGACUUGUCAAGUUGAAUGUAAUGACAGUCACUCCAAAAGUUGUAGCUCCAAAAGUUUCAAUGAAUAAGAAUGAGCCAGUUGCUUAUUUGGUUGAGUCUUUUAAUAUAUGGCAUGAAAGAUUAGGCCAUGUAAACUACAAGUCUAUACAAAGAUUAAUGAAUUUAAAUCUAAUUCCUAAAUGCAAAACAAGUAAACAAAAAUGUGAAGUAUGCGUACAGGCUAAGCUCACAAAAACGCCAUCACCUCGUGUUGAAAGAACUAAUAAACCUCUAGAUUUAAUUCACACUGAUUUAUGUGAUUUAAAAUACUUACAAACUAGAGGUGGUAAAAAGUACUUUGUGACCUUCAUAGAUGACUGCACAAAAUAUUGUUAUGUUUAUUUAUUACAUAGCAAAGAUGAAACCUUGGAAAAAUUUAAAGAAUUUAAACUCGAGGUCGAGAAUCAGCUUAAAACAACUAUUAAAGUAGUUAGAAGCGACAGAGGAGGCGAGUAUGAUGGUCCGUUCAAUGCAUUCUGUAAAGAACAUGGAAUAAUCCAUCAAACUACAGCUCCGUACUCACCAGAAUCUAAUGGAGUUGCUGAACGAAAAAAUCGAACUCUAAAAGAGAUGAUGAAUGCUAUGUUGCAGGAAUCUGGGUUACCCCAGAACAUGUGGGGGGAAGCGUUGCUUACCACUAAUUAUAUCCUCAACAAAAUUCCACACAAAAUAACUGGCAAAACUCCAUAUGAAUUAUGGAAAGGUAAUUUACCUUCGUAUAAAUACCUCAAAGUGUGGGGGUGCCUGGCAAAAGUUGCGGUACCACCACCAAAGAAGGUCACUAUUGGACCUAAAACAGUGGAUUGCAUCUUCAUCGGAUAUGCACAUAACAGUAAUGCUUAUCGAUUUCUGGUACAUAAAUCUGAAAUAUCAGAUAUUCAUGAAAAUAUAGUCAUGGAAUCAAGAAAUGCAUCUUUCUUCGAGAAUAUUUUUCCAUAUAGGGAAAAACAAGGUUCAAAACGAACUCGAGAAGAAAGAGACAAUGACAAUAACUCAGAAACUGAGACAAACGUCGAGAUUUCUAUAAAUGAUAUUUCAGAAAAUGAAGAAAAAGAUGAACCUCGAAGAAGCAAAAGAGCUCGAAAGGAAAAAUCUUUUGGAGAAGAUUUCUUAAUGGCAUUUUUAGUAGAAAAUGCUCCAAAAACUUUAGCAGAAGCCAUGGCUUCACCAGAAGCUCCAUUUUGGAACGAAGCUGUCAGGAGUGAAUUAGAUUCGAUUAUGCAAAAUUAUACGUAUUACAUAACGGAUUUACCACCUGGCUGCAAAGCAUUAGGGAAUAAAUGGAUAAUGACACGCAAACCUGGUGGAAAAUACAAGUCUAGGCUUGUAGUUCAAGGAUUCCGACAAAAGAAGGCCUUGACUAUUUUGAUACAUAUUCUCCAGUGACGAGAAUAACAUCAAUAAGACUGAUGAUAGCAAUCGCAGCCUUAAGAGACUAGAAAUCCAUCAAAUGGAUGUAAAAACUGCUUUUCUAAAUGGUGAUUUAGAAGAGGAAAUUUACAUGAAACAACCUGAAGGUUUUGUCAUUCCCGGACAGGAAGACAAAGUAUGUCGACUUGUAAAGUCACUUUAUGGGCUUAAACAAGCUCCUAAACAAUGGCACGAAAAAUUUGACAAUACAAUGAUGUCAAAUGGUUUCAAAAUAAAUGAAUGUGACAAAUGCAUAUACUACAAAACUACCAAAAAUGCGUAUGUUUUGCUAUGUCUAUAUGUAGAUGAUAUGCUCAUUAUUGGAAGCAAUAAAGACAUUAUCAAUCAAACAAAGAACAUGCUCAAAGGGACAUUUGAGAUGAAAGACUUGGGAUUAGUAGAUGUAAUUCUCGGGGUUAAAGUCACAAGAAAUUCAAACGGAAUUAUCUUAACCCAAUCUCACUAUGCUCAAACAAUAUUAGAGAGAUUUAAAAAUUACUCUAAUAGUACGGCAAAAACUCCGUUAGAUCCCCAAAUGCACUUGACGAAGAAUUCAGGUGAGGCGGUUUCACAAAACGAGUAUGCACGUGUGAUCGGAAGUCUCAUGUACUUGACAAAUUGUACUAGACCGGAUCUGGCGCAUGCAGUAAACGUACUUAGUCGAUAUACCAGUAAUCCAGGUCAUACACACUGGAAAGCUAUAACGAGGGUACUCAAUUACUUACGUUACACCAAAGAUUUUGGGCUUCACUAUGGUAAAGAACCAGCAGUUUUAGAAGGAUACAGUGAUGCUAACUGGAUAUCAGAUUCUAAAAACUCAAAAUCCACGAGUGGAUAUGUCUUUACACUAGGAGGAGCAGCAAUAUCAUGGAAAUCUACCAAACAAACAGUGUUAGCCAGAUCUACCAUGGAAUCUGAGUUCAUAGCUCUAGACAAAGCAGCAGAAGAAGCUGAAUGGCUUAGAAAUUUUUUGGAAGAUAUUCCUAUGUGGGAGAAACCUGUGCCAGCUAUACGCAUACAUUGUGAUAGUCAAUCAGCAAUAGCUCGGGCUCAGAAUAAUCUCUACAAUGGUAAAUCUCGUCACAUCAGAAGACGACAUAAAACCAUUAGACAACUUAUCUCAACUGGUAUAAUUACAAUAGACUACAUCAAAUCGGCUGACAACCUAGCGGAUCCAUUUACUAAAGGCUUGUCACGAGAUGUUGUUGCUAAAUCAUCAAAAGGAAUGGGUUUAAAGCCUAUAACGAAUGAGGAUGCUUGAUUGCAACCCUACCUAUCAUGACUGGAGAUCCCAAGACGUAGGUUCAAAGGGAAAACAAAAUCAAACAGAAUCUAACCAAAGCACUUGAGACAAGUAGUUUCUUCCCAGCUCCUAAGAUGAUAAAAGUGCUAACAAAUGUGAGAAGGAUAAGCAUAAGCUUUUAAUGAUUCCAUAGCUUCUUAAGCGGAGUAUUACUCAAUACUUUUCAUGGUCAAUCACCUAAUGAGUGUGAAAUGGGGCCGUUUCUAGGAGAAUGAAUGCAAGGCUAUAUUCUCUAAGUUCACUCAUGAAAACCAGGAAUAGUUCAGGGCCACAAUGAACACAAUAGAGAACUAAGUUCUACGAGAAAAUGAAGCUGCGUUAUGCCUGUUGUCUCGGUCUACAUAAAACACCGGUUGGUUCAAGACAUCAUGUUCACCUUCUGGUAAAGUAAACCCGACAGAUAUUAACUAUGAGUGGUUCAAGGAUUAAAAAUGCCACCAACUCAAACACAGUGAAUUUUUCGCAAACACUCUCGAUAAGUCUGUCUAGUCUAGUCAGAAUUAGAAUAUGUAUAAUUUUUUAGAGUCUAUCGAGUCUGCAUUUAGUCUGCAUAUGUUUAGAAGAGUCAUUUCUAUUCAUGUGGGGGGAUUGUUGGAACAAUAAAGCCCAUUGGCUUUAUUAAAAUGUGAAUAGCAAAUGAUAUGGGUCUGGGCCCAUCAGAAAUGCUAAAUAAAUGAAAUGGUGAAGUGGGGAAAGUCCCACAUCGACCAGGAGAAACAAAUUUGAGGUGUUUAUAUAUGAUCCCAUGAUAUCAUGGGUUAAACAGCUUGAGAGAGGAGAAGGCUCCCCACGCGCGCGCCGCCGCCGCCGUCCGGCCGGCUCGGCUCGGCGUGGGCGUGGGCGUGGGCUUGGGCUUGGGCUUGGCUUGGGCUUGGGCUUGGGCUUGGGCUUGGGUGGAGGGCCUUUGGCCCGAUAAGAACUAUUCUUUUUGGACCAAGUUAAGCUCAACGCUUUGCCAUUUAAUUCCCGAAAAAACGACAUGCAUUUUAUUUUAAACAACACGGAGUUCGUUUAAAAACAACACGCUGUCUCUCUUCUUGACGAUAAGUAUAAACGAGAAAAGAUCUUGCGGAGGAAGUUUCGUAACGCCUCACCUCCGAGAUCCUCGCGAGAUUUCCGCCAACGUGCGCACGUGCGGCAUCAGUUACGGAAAGUGGCUCGUCUUCUCUUCUUUAUAAACUCGUCUCCUCCUUCAUUUCUCUUAACGUUUUUUACAACAAAAACCAGCAAAUCCUAUAGCGUAAGUCUAGAGAGUGUUUCGUAGAAAUAUUAGUUCGUUAGAGGUUCUUCACGAGUGCUGCGUGAUAACCUAUCAUGGUUUUAUCCUGGGACUCCUAUUCGUACAGAUCCGUCGCACUAACGGAGCGAAUAUUAAGAGUUAAGGAAAGAGAUUCGUCUCGACUCCAUGGUUUCAUUUCCGUUACGGGUUUGAAUCGUCUGUAUAUUUUCCUUAACGUCGUUUAUAUUAUAUCGUUUCUUUUGAUCCGGUUUUCCGGCUUCUACAUUUACAACCCACAAAAAACACGAUUGAGAAAAGAAACUUGGAAACUCGAGCAUCAAUAUCUUAUACAUGAUGUAUUGCUAAUGUUCUUCAGAUGAUCUGAUGACGUUUGGAGUCUUGGACGUUGGACUUGGUCCACUUGGAUAUGCAGCUAGUAUGAUGGAACUUUAAUUGCAAGCCAACUUUAUUUUUAUGUUUUUGAAUUGAUGAUUUCUUCUCUGUUGUUUUAUCUUUGAUACUUUGAGACUUGAUCUCUGUUUUUUUUUUUUUUUUUUUUUUUUUUUGUGUUUUAGAAUGGCAACUUGAUCAUGUUCUAUGUUUGAGACUUGAGAGUAUGAUCUUUGUUUUUUUUUUGUGUGUUUUUGAAUGGCAAUUUGAUCAUGUUCUAUGUUUGAGGCUUGAGAGUAUUAUCUCUGUUUUUUUUGUUUUUUUGUGUGUUUUGAAUGGAAACUUGAUAAUGUUCGAUGUUUAUUAGUUACGGUUAUUGCACUACUGCUGGUUUUUAGAUUGUUUUUUGUUAGGGUUAUUUCUCGUUUUAAAAACUGCAGGUUUGAUGUUCGGGUAAAAUUGCAGGUUAAUGUGUACAAGUAGAUCCGAAACUCAUAUUUUGGAUCCGAAAUAUCAGGAACUGACCCGAAAAGUAGGACAUUUACCUGAAUAUGGAUCCCAAAUACCUGGACCCGACACAAUACAAUAAAGAACCGAAAAAAUCGGGUAUUAACGGGUAUGAUAAAAGUGGACCCGAACCCAACAAGACUCGAUCCGAACCGACCCGAUUUUUUUUAAAGUACCUAUGUAGGUCCAAAUCUCCAGGACCCGUACACUACAAGAAAACAUCGGCAUACUGAGAGAAAAAAUCGUCGGUAUGUCGUCGGAAUAACGCUAUUCCGAGGACAUACCGUCGAAAAAAGUCCUCGGAAAUAUCUCCUCGGAAAUUCAUAUUUUCCUACGGAAUUCCGAGGAAACAAAAUUCCGAGGAAACUCCGAGGACACAAAGAUCGUCGGAAGGUUCCUCGGAAUAUACCGAGGGAAUUCCGAUGGUCCAAUCCUCGGAAGUUUCGACGAAAUAUUCCUCGGAAUGUUUAUCGGAAAAUUCCGAGGGACAUAAGUCCCUCGGAAUUUCGAAAAAAAUUAUUUUUUUUAAUUUUUUUUUUUUUUAAAUUAAAAUUUUUGAAAUUUAAAUUCGAAAAUUUAAAAUUAAAAUUAAAAUUGAAUAAAACAUAAAACAUUAAAACAUAAUAGAUAAUAUUCAAAGUUAAAUAAAACAUUUAGAGUUUUUGGUAAAAAAAAAAAAAACUACGGGUCUUUAAUGUUCGGGAACACCUCGUUCGGGUACAUCCUCUUCAUCAUCUCCAUCAUCUGCUCGUUCAGCCUCUUCUGGGUCUCAUAGCCCGCCUGUUGAGCUGCCAUCUGGGUCUCCAACGCAGAUAUCCGAUCAUCCUUGUCCUUCAGCUGAGCCGUAAGAACUUCGGGAUCAACAUAUGGCGGUGGUGCAGAAGAAGGAGCAGCCGACCGGGAGCGACGACCCAAACCGACGAAACGUCCAUUCUUCUUUGGAACCGACUAAAAUAUAAAUAACCAAAUUUAGAUAAUAUAAAUUGAUGAUAAAAUAAAAAUCAAGAAAUAAAUAAAUUGAACUUAAAAGAAAAAAAACUUACCGAUUCAACGAUUUCGUUGAUUCGAACCCGGGACAAGUUGGUCGAAGCCGUCGAAUCGUCAUCAUCGGUUUGAGGCUGAGACACUUCGUCAUACACUUGAGUUUGGACCAGGUCGACCACGUCCCUCACAAGACCAUUAUCAAUCUGGCCGAUCUUCUUGUUGGUAUACGCCCUUUUAGGGCGAGAUCAUCAACCGGCUCGCCCUCAUUUUCUUCCGCCUUGAAAAAAAAUAAAUUAAACAAACAUUUGAAAUUUGAAAAAAUGCACAAAAAAUAAAAUUCCGAAACUUAAAUAAUUGAAGAAAAAGCGGUUGAACUUACCAUGCGAUCCGCGAGAGUGGCAAUAGAUUGAGCACCCAAGUUAUGCUUGUAGAUGCCCUUCCCUUUACGGUCGCUCCUACGGUUGUUGGAGUUGAUGGAAGAAGUUUCUUUCAUCUCUUCCUUAUCCCAAUGCUCACACAACUCCUUCCAGACCGUGUCGUUCAUCGACUUUGGGACCUUUUAAUUUAAAAAAAACAAAAGUUUAAUAAUUUAAAAAGUAGUUUAAUAAAUUAAAAAUUGUUGAUAAAUUAAAAACUACCUUGUUUACUUCCCACUUCUUCUUCCACUCGUACAUCUGCUUCCCAUAGUUGUCCAUAACUUUAUGAACAAAAUGGUGAUAUAUAGAGAGCGUAUCAUCGGAAUUCCAGUUGAAUUCUUGCUGAAAUAGUUUAAAAAUAGUUUUUAAGCACAAAAAUAUAAAUAGUUUAAUAAUUACAAAAAAAGUUUUAAUAAAUAAAAAAUAGUUUAAUAAAUAUAGAAAAUAGUUUAAUAAUUACAAAAAAGUUUAAUAAAUAAAAAAUAGUUUAAUAAUUAAAAAAAUAGUUUUAAUAAUAUUUAAAAUGUUUAAUAAAUAUAGAAAAUAGUUUAAUAAUCACAAAAAAUAGUUUUAAUAAAUAAAAAAUAUAAGUAAAAAAUUUGAAUACUUACCGCAAACUGACGAAACCACAGAUGCUGCUUCUCGGGAGGGAAGUCAGUGAAAGUCGGAUGUCCCUUGUCGAGGGCCGAGUACAUCAUACGGUUGAUCCAUGCGCUGAUCACGUUCCCGGAUCGGUUGAACCUAAUAAAAAGAACAAAUUAUUAAUAAUCAAUAAAAUUUUAAGGAAAAAAAUAAAAGUUUAAUUAUCAUGUUUGACCAUGUCCAUGUGGAUACUCAGUGAGAUAGGGAAGAUGACCGGACUGUCGAACCAACUGCGCAACACUCAUCACUCCCGGAGGACCCGGAGGAGCAGGAGCGGGUGCAGCAGCGGGAGCGGGAGCAGCAGGAGCGGGUAAUGGAGAGGGAGAUGUAUGGUAGGAGCUGUGGGGCGAAACGGAAUCCUGAACAUGGCUGGACGAACCCCGAGACUGGCUCCCCAUACCACCCCGGCUACGACGCUGGCGAGGCCGGGUCUGAUAAUCAUUAGACCUGUAAAUAAAAAAAAAACAUAUUUAAAAAUUAGUUCUAAUAAUUUUAAUUAAAAAAAAACAGUUUAAAUAAAAAAUAGUUAAAAAAAUAGUUUUUAAUCACAAAAAUAUAAAUAGUUUAAUAAUUAACAAAAAAAGUUUUAAUAAAUAAAAAAUAGUUUAAAAAUUAAAAAAAUAGUUUUAAUAAAUCCCAAAAACAGUUUAAUAAUUACAAUAAAUAGUUUUAAAAAUAUUUAAAAUGUUUAAUAAUUACAAAAUAGUUUUCAUAAUAUUAAAAAUGUUUAAUAAAUAUAGAAAUUUAUAUUUUAUAUAUAAAAUACAUAAAACGUUUUAUAACCACAAAAAGGAUUUUAAAUAUUAUAUAUAUGAUUUUUAAUCUUAAAAAAAGUUUUAUAGAUUUUAAAAAUGUUUAAUAAAUAUAUAAAUGAUUUUAAAAUGCAAAAAAUAGAUUUUAUAUACAAAAAACGUUUUCAAUAUAUAUAUAUAAUUACAAAUUCGAUUUUUAUAACCACAAAAUUAAUAAAAACUAAAAAAAAAAAUUCAAAUCAAGUGAAAUACAUAAUCAAACUCGAUUUUACACAAUUCUACCAUUCACCCUAACAAAAUCUAUAAAUCUCAUUCCAAAAUCAUCAAAUCUACUUAAAAACCAUACAAAUCUAACCUAAGAGAGUGGGAUAGGGUUCAUACAUGAGGAUUAGGGUGGAAAUCGCGAGGGAGAAGAGAGAAAGCGCCGGAAAUCGCAAGGGAGAAGAGAGGAGUCGACGAAAUCGCAGGGGAAAGAGAGAGUGCGGCGGAGAGAAAUGGGGAAGAAGGUCGGACUCGACCUAAUAAAAUGAAGGGUCCGACGGAAAUUAUCCGUCGGAAUUUUCUCGGAAAUAUUUACUAUAUCCGUCGGAAUUUCCUCGGAAAUCAUUAAUUCAAUUUUUGCGAAAUAUUUGGCGGCUUGGUUUACCCGGUUAAAUGAAAAUAUUCCGAGGAACCAGGUUUCCUCGGAAUACCCUCGGUAAUUACCGAGGAAAUUCUGAGGAACCAGGGUUUGGGGUUUCAAAACAUCGAUUAUUUUCGCCGUAUUUCAUUUCUUAUACAAUUAUAAUGCAUACCAUUGAGGAUUCUUUGUAUAGAUGAUCAUAAACCAUGAAAUAACAAAAUUUCAAAAAUAAUUGUAAGUAUUCCCUUUACCGUUUGCUAAAGUGUAUAAGUGUUUCUCUUAUGUUGUGUGGUUUUCGUUCAUGCAAUCGUAAAAGUGUUUGUUAUUGGGUAAAACACCAAAGUUUGACUUCAUAAUCUGGUUAAGACACUUAAUGAAGGUUAUAUACGUGUUAUUCAAUCCGCAAAACGUUGUUUUCGGUUUAAAACCCCUAGUUCCUCGGAAUUUCCUCAGAAUUUUCCGAGGGAAUUCCGAGGAAUACCAUAUCUUCGGCGGAAUUUCCUCGGAAAAUUCCGAGGAAAUGGAAUUUAUAAUCAAAUCCCUAAAUCGACAAGAUCUAUUCCAAGGAAAACCUAUCUGCCCUCGAAAUUUCCUCGGUAUUUAUAUUUAAAAAAAAAAAAGGUCGACGCUAGUCUGUUUCCGAGUCGUCAUCACCAGAUGAAUCUGAAUCUGGAUCUUGGUGAAACUCUCCAAUCACUGGUUCAUCCUCUACGUGAACGGCGGCUUCCUCUCCGAAGUCGGUUAAAUCGACUACAAGGCCAACUCCACCUAAAUCUUCUGCUGCACUUAAGUUGCCGGAUGUGCUUGGUUGUAGUGGGUCUUCCAGCUCAGAACUUCCCUGAACUCGGCCUCUCGGGUUGAGUCUUGUAACAGUAACCCAUGGAUCAUCUCUGUUCCUUACCCGGGGGUACUUGAUAUAACAAACCUGAUCGGCCUGAGAAGCAAGAAUGAAAGAACGCAUCCUUUCCCGCUGUAUCAAGUCGGUAUAUGGGAAAAAGAGCCCUACCAUUCUCAUCAACAUGAAGUUCUGAACGAGCACAUAUAUCGACUAAAUCCAGUCUUGACUUCAAAUUAUCCUUUGUUUUACCUUGAACAUUAAGGAUCGUGUUCAUGAGAUUGUCAAAAAAGUUCUUCUCAAUAUGCAUGACAUCUAAAUUAUGCCUUAGUAGAUGAUCCUCCCAGUAUGGCAGAUCCCAAAAAAUACUUUUUUUUUGUGCCAGUUAUGUAGGUCUCCAACACCAUCUACCGGAAAACGCUCAUGUCCACCGACGUCUGGCGUCCUUUCUGCACCAAAAUCUCUAAGUUGUGUCUUCAUUUUUUCCCACGAAUUUCCGGAGGUGGACUGUCAAACACCCUCUUGUUCUUCGUAAACAAAUUCCUACUUCUACGAUAUGGAUGAUCUGGUGGUAGAAAUCUCCUGUGACAGUCAAACCAACACGUUUUCCUUCCGUGUUUUAGUUGGAAAGCAUCAGUGUUAUCUUGACAAUAUGGACAUGAUAGCAUUCCAUGCGUUGUCCAUCCAAAUAACAUACCAUAUGCUGGAAAAUCACUUAUUGUCCACAUUAGUACUGCCCGCAUUUGAAAGUUUUCCUUAUACGAAACAUCGUAUGUUUCAGCACCUUGAGCCCAUAGUUGUUGCAACUCAUAUAUUAGUGGCUGAAGAAACACAUCAAGUGAUCUCUUAGGAUGCUCUGGUCCGGGAACGAGAAUCGAGAGAAACAAAAACUCUCGUCGCAAGCACAAGUUUGGGGGUAGGUUGUAUGGUGUAAGAAUGACUGGCCAUAGAGAAUACUGUCUUCCACUAUUGCCAAACGGGCUGAAACCAUCAGUACAUAAUCCAAGGUAGACAUUUCUUCUCUCAUACGCAAAGUCGGGAUACUUUGAUUGGAAAUGCUUCCACGCUUUUGCAUCUGAAGGAUGUCUGAUCUCACCAUCUGUUGAGUGCUCCGCAUGCCAUCUCAUUGGUUGCGCUGUGCGUUCAGACAGAUACAACCUCUGCAACCUUUCCGUCAAAGGCAAAUACCACAUCCUUUUAUAUGGCACUGGAACUCUUCCACUCGUAUCUUUAUAACGAGGCUUCCCUCAAAAUUUGCAUGAAACCCGCUGUUCAUCCGCCCUCCAAUAAAUCAUGAAGUUGUCUCUGCAUACAUCUAUUACCUGAUACGAUAAACCAAGACCAGCUACGAGUUUCUGAACCUCGUAGUAUGAGCCAGGAGCUACAUUAUCUUCGGGUAGAAUACCUUUUACAUAAUCAGCAAUCGCAUCCACACAGUCUUCAGCCAAAUUAUAAUCCGUCUUAAUGCUCAUCAAUCUUGUAGCAGAUGAUAAAGCUGAAUGACCAUCUCUGCAACCUUCGUACAAUGGUUGCUUUCCAGCAUCCAACAUAUCAUAAAAUCUCCUAGCUUCGGCAUUGGGUAAAUCUUCCCCUCUAAAAUGAUCAUUACCAUCUGCUCAGUACCUACACCGUAAUCUACAUCCGUUCUAAUUGGAUCUUCUAAUCUAACCGCUGGCUGAGGUUCGCUAGUACUACCAUGUUCAUAAUCAGUUUCCCCAUGAUGAUACCAAAUUUUGUAACUUCGUGUAAACCCACUCAAAUAUAGAUGAGUCCAAACAUCCCACUGUUUAAUAACUUUUUUAUUUUUACAAUUAGAGCAAGGACAUCUUAACAUAUCUGUUUUUGCUUCCGGUUGUCGGUGAACUAAUCCCAUGAAUUCGGUUAUACCUUGUUGGUAUUCUUCCGUAAGCAAUCUCGUGUUCGGAUCCAAAUGAGGUCGAUCGAUCCAAGAACGAAAAUAAUUUGAAGAAGACAUGUUUUUGAUGAAUCAAAUUCGUGUGUAAAGAGAGUGAGAGGGAGGAUGAAGAUAUGGAGUGCUUGUAUUUAUAGUUGAAAUCCUGCCGACAGACCGAGGAAAUUCCGACGGAAUUCCGAUGCCAACGGCUAGUUCGUCGGAAUUUCCUCGGAAUUUUUUAAAAUCCCCCAACGGCUCUCCAACGGCUCUUUAACGUCUAUAAUAUUUCCUCGAAAUUCAUCGGUUUUUUCCGAGGAAUACAAUUUUCCUCGGUAUUCCAUAAGAAUAUUCCGACGGAAUGAAAUUUCCUCGGAAUUCCGUCGGUAUAUUCCGAGGAAAUUCCUCGGUAUAUUCCGAAGAAUUCAUUUUCCGUCGGAACGUCCGUCAGAAUACCGCUGCUUUCUUGUAGUGGUAGGACCCGAAACCAAAAAGAUCCAACCCAAACCUGACUCGAGAACCCAGAUGGCCCAGGCCUAAUUGGACCCUUCUUUAAUUGGGUAGACUUUAGCUUUCUAUUGUUAUAUGUAUAUUGAUAAAUUAUCCAAAAAUAAAAUAAUGUAACCUAAGUGAAAAAAAAUGAAAAACCUAAUCAAAAUUCGGUAAACCAGAACCAAAAAAUAAAACCUUAUAUAAAUACAAGUUUGUCACUAGAAAAGAGAGAUGGGAGAUGGAAUGCUAAUUUGCGUUCGUAGCCUUCAUUCUUCGAGUUUCAUACGUCACCACGGCCUAACAAACACACACGUUUUGCGUUAGCAACACUUACGUCUAAAACAAGAAAACGUCGUGUUCUUGAUAUAGACCAAUCUCAGAUACGAAGUGUCCGAACCCUUAAGCAAAAUGCACCAAACGCAUGAAGAAUCAAGUUUUGCUUAUCUUUACGGAACAUAAACUAUAAACCUUGAAAACCCAAAUUUUCUUGUUUCUGGUUACAACAAAAGAGAAGAAACAACUACACGAAAAAUGUCUAAUGAAAACUCCGUAAUGUCAUUGCUAGAUCGUAUCUCCGCUCACCUCUGUCUUCAAGACGUAUCAAUUGCAUUAUUAGGUCUAUUUCUUUUCAGUUGCCUGCGAGCCAAGCUAACUAACAAAGGCGGUCCGAUACAAUGGCCAGUCUUUGGAAUCACCCCCGAGUUCUUCCUCCAAGCUCACGACGUAUACGGAUGGGUCACAAGGUGUUUAACCAACAGCCAAGGAACGUUUCCUUACCAAGGAAUCUGGUUCAGUGGAUCUUACGGAGCCAUGACAAGCGUCCCGGCAAACAUCGAGUACAUGCUCAAAACCAACUUCAAGAACUAUCCUAAAGGAGAGUUUUACAAAGAGAGGUUCCGAGAUUUGCUUGAAGAAGGUAUCUUCAACGCGGAUGAUGAGUCUUGGAAAGAGCAGAGACGUAUCAUCAUUACCGAGAUGCAUUCAACACGAUUCGUAGACCAUUCGUUCCACACAACGAGGGAGUUGAUAGAGAUGAAGCUCUUCAAAGUGAUGGAGAGCUUCUCAAAGUCUCAAAAAGCAUUUGAUCUUCAAGAGAUUCUUUUGAGGUUGACGUUUGAUAAUAUCUGUAUCGCGGGUCUCGGCAAUGAUCCUGGUACUCUGGACGUUGAUCUUCCUCAAGUUCCAUUCGCUAAGGCCUUUGAAGAAGCAACGGAGAGUACUAUGUUUAGGUUCAUGAUUCCACCGUUUUUGUGGAAGCCUAUGAAGUUUUUUGACUUAGGGUAUGAGAAAGGGCUGAGGAAAGCUGUUGAGACGGUUCAUGGGUUUAUAGACAAGAUGGUCGUGGACAGAAUCAAGAUGCUUAAAGAUGAAGGAACGUUAGAGAGAAACAAAUCAGAUGUCCUCUCGAGGCUAAUCCUUAUCGAAAGUCACAAAAGAGGCAAUGACAAUGAUCGGUUCACCGUCAAGUUUUUCAGACAGUUCUGCACAAGUUUCAUCUUAGCGGGACGUGACACGAGUUCCGUCGGGCUUAGCUGGUUCUUCUGGUUGAUAACAAAACAUCCAGAAGUCGAAAACAAGAUCCUCCAAGAAAUAACAGAAAUUUUGAGCCAAAGAGACAAGAUGAGAUCAGUUGAUGAGAGUUGUUGUCGUCACUUCACAGUCAAAGAGCUAAACGACAUGGUUUAUCUACAAGCGGCACUGUCUGAAUCUCUCAGACUCUAUCCACCGAUACCAAUGGAAAUGAAACAAGCAACAGAAGAAGAUGUGUUUCCAGAUGGGACUUUCUUGGAGAAGGGUUCAAGGGUUUACUUCUCCAUCUAUGCUAUGGGAAGGAUGAAAUCAAUUUGGGGUGAAGACUGUGAAAUGUACAAACCGGAGAGAUGGAUACAAGGAGGACAAUACGUGAGUGAUGAUCAGUUUAAGUAUGUUGUGUUCAAUGGCGGUCCAAGGCUUUGUUUAGGGAAAACAUUUGCGUACUUGCAGAUGAAAAUGGUGGCUGCUUCCAUCUUGUUGAAUUACUCGAUCAAGGUUGAUCAAGGUCAUCUUGUUGAGCCUCGAGUUACAACCACUUUGUAUAUGAAACAUGGUCUUAAUGUUAGGAUCAUGAAGAGGUCUUUAGAGGAGAAGAAGCAAGACUCAUAAGUAAAUAAGAAGAUCGAAACAAGCUAUAAACGGGGCCAUGAAUUGGAGCUUGUUACUAAAAUAUUUGUUUAUAUUAUAUAUGGGCUAAUGUAAGAUCAUCACCCUUUGUUCUAUCUCAAAGUAGAUUUAGACACUUAUAUAAUCUUUCUUAGUAAAAUGUACAUUGUGUGUAUUAUAUUCCGCGUAAGGCAGAUUAAAAUGUUAUACAAAGCAAACAAUGCAAUUAAAAGGUACAAACUAACAUACCGUAAGUAUGACCUCGUGCACACAUUUCAGAUCUAGUUGUCUGCAGUCCGGUUUAACUGAUUUAUAAACUAAACCGACAAGGAUAUAAAUCGAGUCGGUUUCAUAUCUUGUUUGUAUCUAACCCAACUGUAAUCAUACCAAACAAAAGUAAACCGAUUAAAACGUCAUUUUCCCUUCUAAAUGUUUUUUAUCUAUACUAUUAUUUAUCAAGUGAUUUAGCUUAUUUGUCAUGUUCUCCAUGAUUUUAGGCAAUUUUGCUUAUUUGUCAUAUUUUAAUUAGGUUUAAGUUGAAUCAUUAAUUUAUUAAUAGUUUUUAUUUGAGUCCAUAAUUUAUUAAUCUAAAUAAUAUAACUAUAAAAUAUGUAAUCUAUACUAUUAUUUAUGAAGUGAUUCUGCUUAUUUGUCAUGUUCUCCACGAUUUUAGGUAAUUUUGCUUAUUUGUCAUGUUUUAUUAGGUUUUAGCUUAGUCAUUGAUUUAUUAAUAAUUUUUUAGCUGAAUCUCUAAUUUAUUAAUUAAAAAAUAUCGUAAUAAAUUUUAUAUAUAAUUAAAAACGAAUUUUUAUUUAAUAAUAUUAAAAUCUAUAUGUUAUACUAAAAUUCUUAUUUUCUUAUUUGUCAUAUUUUAUUAGGUUUUAAGCUUUUAAAUAGGUCAUUGAUUUAUUAUUAGUUUUAACUGAGUACUAGAUUCUGACCCGCCCUUUAAAAGGGCGUGUAUAUUUUUUAUUUAAAAUUACAUAAUUUAUCAAUUUAUUAUUUGAGAUUUUGUACGUAUAUUCUUAUUUCACAAUAUCAUUUUAUAUUUCUUAUUCAUUUUAUAAGAAUUAAAUUUGUUCAAUUGAUGAGAUAUAAGAUUUACUCGGUAUAUUUUAGACUAAAUCAAUAAUAUAUAUUUGGAGGGGUUUUCAUAGUUUUUACCAAUGUUUUUGUAUUUGAUCUAGAUCCGCGGUCGAACCGGUAAAUUCGGUGACCCAUAUAUAUUAUGGUUCAGAUUUAGUUAAAAUUCAAUAUUUAAAAACCAGAUAAAUCCGUAAAAAUCAUAAAGUCUGUUACUAACUCGCAAUCGACACUGGUUGACCAGAUAAAAAUCCAUAUAAAUCUGAUUAUAUUUGUUUUAAAAUGAUUCAACUUUUGAUAUAUUUUUAAUGGUACAUAAUUUAAAUAAAAUAUAUGAUUUGUAAUUUUUUUAAUUUUGAUAAUGCUUUUACUAUAUCGUUUAAUUUUAAUGAAGAAAAUGGUGAUCAAAACUAAAAAUUAUAUAUUGUUUUUUUCUUGGAAAAAUUAUUAUAUAUAUUUUCUCAUUUAACUGUAUCCAUUUAUAAUUCUGAUCUUUGUUUUGUUUUAUAAACAUAUUUGUGGUUUAGCUCUAUGUCCCCAUCAUUUUUUUGUAUACGUAUGUAAGUCUUUAGUAAAUCAAAUAUAAAUAGUACAUUAUUAUUAUAUUUUUAUUGGGGCCUCGAGAUUGUUUUUAACAAUUGUAACUCAUAAAAUGUAGUAUUUAUAUUUAUUAGCAAAAGAAAGAAUGAUGUUUCGUAGUGAUACGUAGUUAUAAAAUAUGGACUACGUAUAUAUAUAUUUUUUUGUAAGCUAAACUACGUAUAUUGAUGUUUCGUAGUCAUAAAAAAACCCAAUAAUAUUAUGGUUGAAGACGCCGUAAUAUUAACUUUCACGUGAGUGAGUAUGAUUUCAUAUUCAAUUUGUAAUCAAAUAUGAACAUGUCCAUGUUGACCUAUUGUUACAAAAAGAACCAGUUAUAAUGUUAUAUUAUGGUUGAUGUUACUAUUGAGCACGUAAACGCAUAGUUAUCAAUGUCAUAUUGGGUUUAACACAUUUAAAAAAUGCGGGUAGCUUUAUAGUUAUCAAUGUGUGUUAUGGGGGUAUUAACCGUGAUAAAAAUAUAGUUAUGGAUACGUUAUUAGUUAUCCCGCAUCUUUACCAAAUUUCUGUUUUUGUUUGAUUAAAUAAAAUAUAUGGGUGCAGUUAUAAAAAAGUAGCAGCCGAUAAUUAGGGAAGAUAAGUGGUGGUUACAUCCACAAUAUAUAUGCAGUUACAUUAAAAAGCAUGUAUCAUUAAAAUUUUAAAUUGGACUCAACUAAUAUCAAUUGGGCAUGUUCCUGCUUUAAUAGUAUUGAUUUAUUAAUUUUCACAAACCCGUAAUGAAUUUUAUAUAUAAUAAAACACGCAUUUUAUUUUAAUAAUAUUACAUGUUAUAUUAAAUAAUUAAUUAUAAAUUAAUAUAAUAAAAUUGUGAAAAUAUAUUUAAAAUUAAGAGAAUUCUUAUAUAUAUUGUUUAGCUAUCUGAAAUAAUAUUUUUUAUUAUAAAGUUAAAAAACUAAGAUAUAAAACAGUUUAUAAUUGAAUAUUAGUCAAACAAAAAUAUUUAUAUAAAGAUAUUUUCUAAACUAUUUCUAAUAUAUGCGUGUUUUAAAACUUUUAACACAAUAGUAAGUACAUAGUUUGAUGAACGCUUUUUUGACAUAUAUAAAUAAUUUGAUGUUUGAUUUAACUAUUUAAAAUCAUAAAUAAUAACUUAACUUGUGACUGAGUUUAAAACAAUUUUUCUUGCUUUUACUUCAAAACUUGUUUAAUCCGUGAAAACUAUAGCUUCAGUUGGUGACCACUAAAAGAAUGAAAAAAAAUGAACAAAAUAAAAAAUAAAAUUUUAUUUGAGGAAUUGAAAAAAUAAAAUAAAAAUGAAUUUUUGUUCAAUUUGUUCCUUAUCAAAAUUGCAUAGGGAAAUUGUUUCUUAUAAAUUCAUUCCUCCAUGGGGAACAAAGAAUUCACCAUAAUUUUUUUCCUUCAACAUGUUCACCAAUUACAGUUUUAUAAUGCCGAUUUUUGGAUGAUAAAAUAAGUAUUCGACAGAUGAUUAUGCCCUCAUGUGCGGGCAAAACACCUAGUUCAAUAUUAUUUAUCAAAGACAAUAACAUAGAAAGUUGAUAUGUUAGAUCGCAUAAAAAAACUACAAUAAGUUCAUGAGAAACAAUCUAACCCGUUAGAAAAUAUGAUAUGACAAAUAAAACUGCAAAAAGAAAUCAAAGAUGAAGUCCGGACCGAAAUUUGGUUGGAUGUUACCAAUACGUUGAUAUCAAAUGAUCUUGUUCCACGUUUUUUUAACAGUUGAAGUGCUUUCCCCCGUUACAGUGGACUGCAGUCACUUUCAUUGCCUACACGUUAAGAGUUCUCCAAAUAAAGAUAGAUCAUUUUUUUUGGUUGAAGCUGUUCUGGAACAGAUCUAUUCCAAAAAUAUUACCCUAGAACCCGUCGAACAAUCUCUGCGUUAACAAUUAUAACAAAAAUCGAAGCAAAACGAGUAUACAAAAGCUGGCGAAAAACAAAAAAUAUCCUCAGAAACGUAAAGAAAACAACCAGAAUGAAACCAUGAUACUAGAAAACAAAGAAGAAAAAAAUUAUUAAAAGAGAAAUCCUAGCGGUGGUGCUUUAUUAAAAGCCACCGCCGCAAGCUCACAAAAAUAUCUAUCCUUUUUCCCGUUCAUUGAUGGUUACAACUUCUUAACCUCAUAUCUUUGCAUGACUCUUCUACAAUUAAAACAUCAUUUUAACACUGAUUUAUUAUUUAAAUUAUAAGAAUUAUUACGUCAAAAACUUUAUAUGACCAUUGUUCUGUGUCUUGUUAAGAGAUCUCAUGUAAAGCUUUUCUCUAUAUUAGUCGAGUUAAAUAACCCAAUUUUAGAAAAUCACCUUUCUCUUUACACGUUUUCUCGGUACAUAGUUCUUAUUUUAUUACAAAUUAUAAGUGCUACGUCAACAACUUUAUAUGACCAUUGUUCUGUGUCUCGUUAAGAGAUCUCAUGUAAAGUUUUUCUCUUUUAGGCGAGCUUAUUAUUAGGCUCAAAUUCCAUAUCUACCGGUAUUAAAAACAUCAUAACUGAACUAUAUUUUGAGUAAAUAACCCAAUUUUAUAAAAUCACCUUUCUCUUUUCUCGUUUUCUCUGUAAAAUUCAUCUUCGUUUUAUAUUGUUUAGUUUCUCUGGUUUUUGGCGCUGUAAAAAAAACACCUUUAUUCUUUUUCGUAUUAGUUUCUCUCAUCUUAUUAACUUAGCCAAUAUGAUUAUUGAUAAAAAUAAAUAACUUGUCUAUCAUCCUCUUUACGUUCAGAGAAUAGUAAACUUUUCUUAUACACAAAUGCUAACUUUCAUAAUAACUAUAUAGAAAUAUAUUAUAGGCGAUCUUAUAAUCUCCGAGAUCUCCUAAUACCCUAUUGAAAGCUAAUACGUGGUAACAUGUACGAGAUUGGACAAUCAUCAAAUCAUUUUCAUGGUGUUUAUAUCCCAUGGUAAGGCCAUUAAUAGCGUUUAUACCUCGCCAAAGUCAUUGAUUCGGUAACGAAUACUAUAGUAGUUGUGUAUCUCCAUCGUCCCAUGCCACCAUGUGAACUGAACGAAUCUCUCUCACUCAUGCUCAAAGUCCACAGCAACAUCUCAAGUCAUUACUUCGUCGGAACCGUAAAUACCCGUCAGAAUCAUUAAUCUUCAAACAUCUUUAGGACCACCAUCAAAUUUGCAGUAGAUAGAUAGCGCCAUAUAAAGAUCUGAAGAAAAACUAUACUAGCGAAUAUGGACGGACCAUCAAUGAUCCAUGCAUAUGAUCAGUGCCGUGCGAAGAAUUUUAGAGGCCUAAGGCAAGUUUUAAAAAUAAAUUUAUUUAUAAUCUUAAUAAAAAUAAUUUUCUAAUAUAAUAUAUUAUUUUCACCAAAUACACAAAUCUAAUACUGUAAAAGAAUAAGUUUAUAACGUAAAUAUAUUAUAUUAUGUCAUAUAGAAAAAAAUACAUCAAUUCAAAAAAUGAAUUAAUUAAUUUUCGUAGAAAUUUUUUUUUAAAUAAGUUUAAACCACUAUACUAGAAAUUAUUUUAAAUUUUGGGGCCCUAAAAACAGUCAUAUUAAUCGGGAGCCUAAGGCGAAUGCCUUUUUUAAUACACUGUAGGCACGCCUCUGCAUAUGAUUCACAUAGUGUCAUCAAUCACUGAUACGUAACCAGCUUUGUAGUAUGAAACCACGUAUCUCAUCAUCUUCUUUUUUUUCCUUCUUUUUAAUAAUAAUACAAGUUUUCAAUAAAAUUGGAAAAAGAACAUUAAAAACUUGCCGUAACAUAAAAACCUAAAUCACUCAUUAAAAAAAUCAAAACAAUUAAUUAAUAAAAAUCCAUAAGCCAUCAGGAUUAGGAUCGAAAAUUCUGAUACCAUGAUAAGUUUAGAGGAAACCUUUGAAGUAUAAUAGUUUUCCUCAUCCUAUUAACUUAGCCAAUAUGCUUAUUUAUACGAAUAAAUAACUUGUCUAUCAUCUUUACAUUUAAAGAAUAGUAAACCUUCCUUAUACACAAAUGCUAACUUUCCUAAUAACUAUAUAAAAUAUAUAUUCUCUCCGUUUCAAUAUAGAUGAUGUUUUAUAAUGUUUGUUUUGUUUCAAUUUACAUGAAGUUUUGAGAUUUUAAGGAAAUUUUGAGAUUUUAAAGUUAACUUUAACUUUAUUGAAAACUGUUCAACCAAUUAGAUUUUACAGUUUUUUUAUAGUUGGUGAACUGAUUUUAAAAUUAUAUGUUUAAAAUAUUUUUCUAGAAAAAUGUAAUUUUUUCAAUCUUUGUGCACUAUUACAAAACAUCAAGUAUUAUGAAACGGAAGGAGUAUUAUAGACGAUCUCAUAAUCCCGAGAUCUCCUAAUAUUUUCUUUUGGACAGUGCUUUCAUCAUUGGGUUAGAUAAAUCUAAAUCACAAAUAGAUGUGACAGAUUUUUUAUUUUCUGGAGGCUUCGGUGACGUCACUGUAGUUACAGUGGGUAGGAGACAGUCGUCUUGCAUGUCUGGAUCUUAAGAACAAGAUCUGGCGUGUUUCCUCAAGACUAUGCAGUUCUUUUGAUUCUUCCGGUGACCGCUUGUGGGUCUUGUUUUUUCUUUCACUGGUUGAAGGAGGAAUCAGUGGAUCACUGGGUGGUGGUUGCGGCGAGGAUGGUUGGUGGUGUUUAAACUGUUAAGGCCAAUAUGAGUAAACUCGCCAUUUUGGAAGAUGAUGGAGGGUCUUCAAAGAGGCCUCCAUCAGUGGUUGACUGCAUCAAUUUUUAAAUCUCGACCGACUCAGGACCAAAGUCCUUCUCUCUCCCUUAUGUGAUGAACUUCUUCGCUCAUAGUCCUAUGUCUGCAUUUAGAGCACCAUUAACUAAGGGUGCUUGUAGGGUGCUUAGAUUUUUUUUUAAUUAAAAAAAAGAAAGAGAAGAAGAAGAAGAAAGAUGAGUGCUUAAUUAGGCAUCACAAGCACCUGUUGCAUGGCGGGCCCCACUGAUAUGUAGUGGCCCGCGAUUGGUUUAUUUUUAUUUUUUAAUAUUUUUUUUAAUCAGAGAAAAAACCAAAAAAAAAAAAAAUUAAGCACCCCAAAUGGGGUGCUAGGGUUAAUGGUGCUCUUAGUGACUAGAUCCUUCAGAUAGCAGGUUUUGGUUUGGGUAUUUCGGGUAUCGGGUAGGUCGGGUAUGGGGGCUAGAGAUCUAUCUAUUACACUACCUAUUUUCGGUUCUGGUUAGAUAUAUAGUUUCAGGUUCGGUUUGGAUAGUAAAACAAGGAACCAAAAAUAUCCGGAAAAAUUUGGCUCUCAUUUGGUUCCGGUUUCAGUUUGGUUGUUUCGGGUAGUUCGGCUAAUUCAAGUAAAAUAUCAGGUGUUUUGGGUAUCAAGUAUCUAGGAUGAUUCUAAUAAAAAUCUUGGAUUUUAUGGAUUAUUUUGGAUAUUACAGAUAAAACUAUCAUGAUACUUUAGGGUACUCUAAAUACUUUUAUAAUAAUUUAGUUUUCUUUUAAAUAUUUUCAACUUUAAGUAGUUUUUUAAAAAUAUAAAUAUAUACAUACUUAUAUUAUAUGCAUAUAUAACUAAUAUUUUUAUAUAUUCUGAUAUCCGUUUGGUUCUCGGUUUGGUUUAUGAUGUGGUCAUCAGAUCAGCAACUAAACCGGAGGUCAACCCAAAGCCCUACUCAACCAGCCAAGGCGCAAACCAGGAUAUACGUGCACUAACAAUGCCAUAUCUUACAAACCAGGAGGGUCUAAAUCACGAGGAUAAUUUUUAUGGAUUCUACACUCAAGAAGGAGUCAAGACCAAUUGGAAUUGGGCCAAAAUAUUCACGGAGCAAGAAGUUAUGAAUUUUACAAGUCAGAGGUUUUCCAGCCCGUCCAUCUGCGAGUACCCGACUUUAGAAGGAGAUUCCAGCCCAAGGAAGGAGCGGCCUGAACCAAAGCCCAUCAUAGGAUUCAAGAGGAAUCUCUCAGAUUUUCAGAAAGCCCAUUACCAGGAGAAAUGGCCACGGAAUUAUGAAGUUAUGAUCCAAUCUCCAAAACCGGCCAAACCAGUUCUACACUUGCCUCAAUUGGAAGCUAGCCGGUUCAAUCAGCUUCAAACCAGACAUUAGCGACCAAGAGAGCAUUUCAACCAAUAAGGAGACAUCAUACACGGCCAAUAGGAGUUCUACAAGUCCAUACCUUGCACCAGCCAACAUAGGAUCAAAAGGAUCCUCAUUAACUCCAACUUGCCUUAUUUGGAAGCUCUUGCAUUCAAACUCCAACAGCUCUUUUUCUUUGAGUUUAUGCACGACAUCAGAACCUUCCAAGCCAUCCAGAAGAUCCCAAGGAAGCUCUCUUAUCCCCUUAAACCAUCCAGGUUCAAGAAAGAUCAGAUUCUUUACUUGGAACCAAAAUCCUACAAAAGGCUCCAACAGCUAGUUUUCGAUUUCUUUCUUAGUUUUGAUUUGUUUCCUUUUCUAUUUGUUUUAGAACGUUAGGACCUUUGUCUCUGAGCAUUAUAUAAGCUCCUAGACGUCCAUUGUAAAGAUCACCCUUAAUCACCAAGUUAAUAGAAAGUUUAUUCAGUUUUAUCAAAGUUGUUCUUUGUAUAAAAUAUCGGUCUUUAGGAUUCAAAGAGAGAUUCUUUGUUGUCUUAUUGAUUUCGUGAGUCUAGUUUGUUUGUGCAAAUCAAACAAGCUCAGUACACAGAUUGAGAGAAUCAAUCACUUCGAUCCAUCAUUCCAUCAGAUUGAGAGAUUCAAUCAAACUUUCCUCCGCAAAUCCACUUCAAGCCAUCAUUUGAUCAAGCUGAGAGUGAUACACAUCCAGCAGCCUGAUUCCGCCAUAUCUAUCCCUUUCUUUUGUUUAUUGUUCUUGUUUUAUUCAUAUCAUAAACCUCAUAUCAUUUAAUUCCAUUUGUUUCAGGUUAUCAAGUCAUAAUCCAGCCAUAUCGACCAAUCGGCCACAUCUUUGGUCGAUCCGAUUUAAACCUUGGUUCCACCAUUCAACCAAUUCGUGGGGUACCCUUCCUGUGCCUACAACAGUUUCGGUUCGGUUAUUUUGGAUAUAAAAAUAAAGAAAACAUUCGGGUAUUUGAAGAUUUCGGUCCGGUAUUGGGUAUUUCGUUUCGGAUCUUCAGUUCCGUUUUUUUUUUUGCGCAGGCCUAAAGUUGUGGUAAAGUGAUCUUGGUCCGUCUCUUCUUCGUCCCAGUUUCUCUUUUCCCUUUCACGGUGGUGAUAGUGGCUUUUGUUUUCUGGUGGUCGUGUGGUUGUUAGUGAGUUUUCUUGUUUGGUCGAGUUAAAUUUUUUGUGGAUUGGUUUUUAAUAUUUAAAGCUUUUGUAUUUUUUUUAUCUUUUUAUCUUUUUUAUUUCUGAUUUUUAUUGUAACAAAAAUUCCAAAAAUUUAAUUAGGAAAGCUUUUUAUUUUAAAAACUAAGCAACCCAAUUCUGAAUAGUGAACCGAAAUAACCCAACAUAAUUAAUGAUCUUAUUGUUUACAUCUGGUUUUUAUUCUUGAUAAACCGGAUAAUUUAAAAGCCUAACCUAAAACCGGACUAGACAACCUUAGGUUUCUGAAGAAAUGUCUUCAAGUAUGGAAUAAUCUGAAGAAGAGGUAUAGGUUUAAAUCGGUUUCUCGUGCUAGUAACAAACUUAAACCAUUGGCUUGUUGGAUCACAACUGCCAUUUCCUUCUAAACAUUAGCAGCUUCUCGUCACAACGUUGCCACUAUCUAAAUCAACAUCCAAACAAACAGACUCUCCAUUCUUUCUUACCGAGAAGUCACGAGGGCUGCAUCUUUGAUUCAGACACAACUUUCCAUUUUGAACAGUAAGAUUCUGAGGUAAACAAACGCACAGACAGACUUUCCUUCCUCAUAAAUUUCAAGAAGAAGAGAUGUUCUUCUGUUCGUGAUAAAAUUCCAUGAGAUGAAAGUAUAAAGCUUUUUGGUCUGUUGCAAGAACCAAGCUUCAGUUGAAAUAAUAAGUUCCUCAUGAUUCAAAGGCCAGCCACAGGAUGAAAUAUUAUUUUCUUUGGCUGAGUUUCCAUUAGACCUGGUCCUGAACAAAGUUUUUUUAUUUUAUUUUAGUCCCCACCAAUAAUGUCAAAAUGUAACUGUAUAAUAAGAGCGUGUGUACCUUGCAAAGGAGACUGAAUAGCAGAAAACAUAUCCAAAAAUGGUAGAGUUCCUGAUGCUUGACCAAUACCAAUCCAAAAUAAAUGCCAUAAGAUUCAACCAUAUUCUAUAGUUUUCUGUCUUACAUAAUAGCUACCUCCAAGAGUCCAUAUCGCCCAAACUAGAUCAAGAUCCACAGCUAACGCAAAGGAACAACUUAGAAAUCUAUUGUCAUUCAGAUUGUUUCCUCUUUGAUCAAAUCCAAAACUCGCUCAGAAACAAAAGAUCUCAUGUAAGCAUUUCUUUUAGGGCAUGCCUGGUUUCUCUGCUACCAUCCGCAAACCCAACUUUUGCGGUUGACAGCAAUUGUUGGUGUUUUGAAACAAUCACAGAAAACGCUACAAAUCGUUUCAAACCGCUCUGAACCUCUUAAAAUCAAAAACUGGUUCCAGCUAGCGUUUGCGGUUGCGGGAAAAUAAUUUUUUUUUUUUAAGAAUUAAAAUAUAAAAUGAAAAUAUUCAAUAAAAAUUUUAAAUUGAAAUACUAGAGAUAAUAAAAUGUAUAUAUAUAUAUAUAUAUAUAUAUAUAUAUAUAUAUUAAUUUAUAUUAGAAAAAUUUAAAAAAUAUUUUCUAUAAUUUUUUAAAUUUUAAUAUUACAAUUUUAUAUAUAUAAUUUUUAUAUUUAUUAUAAUAUUAUGAUUUUUAAUAAUUUUAUAAUUAUAUAAAAUGUCAAUAUUAAUAAUUUAUUAUUUAACAAAUUAUGCAUUUGGUAGUUAACCAGACAUAAGUAUUCCGCAAACAAACCAAUUUCUAACUGAUGUUCCAGUUGUGCAAAUCUCUUAAUAACGCUUAAAACCGUAACUACCGGCAUCCACAAACGCACGCAACCGCAUCCGCAACCGCUGCGGUUACACCAGUCAGACCCUUAAUCUGCAUAAUUCAUCUUUUCUAAGACUUAAAAUUUAAACCUCUUAGUGAAAAGCAUUAAUGCACUCUUAUUCAAACUAUUGGACUAAUUAGGGGGCUUCCAAUAUCUCUUAUCUUUAAACCACAUAAUCAAGUGGUACCAAAAUUGACACCUAAGCAGAAAUUUCUUAAUUUAUAAAAUUAUCUCUUAUCUUUAAACCACAUAAUUUAGUGGUGUACCAAAAUUGACACCUAAGCAGAAAUUUCUUAAUUUAUAAAAUCUCACCCUUCAUUAUUCUCUUAUUAUUUAGAACUAAUAAAUUAAUAUAAUAUUUAAUUAUAAAUAAUAGUAUAUUUUGAACUAAAAUAAAUUAUAAUUUUCAAAAUAAUAAAAAAAUUUUCAGCAUAAUUUUCUAACAAAUAACAAAACUAAAAAAUAGAUAUACUAUUUUUUAAAAAUUAAUAUUUCAAGACAAAAAUAUUAUUAUAUAACAAAAAGAUACUCAGUAAUAAAUAUUCGUAUUUCUAAGUAUAAAGUUUAUUAUUAGGUCUAUGAUGUCUACACAACUUUAACUUAUUCUUUGUUAUGAUACAUAUGAUAUUUGGAAUUGAAUAAAGAAAUUUGCUUAAGAUUAUAUAUAAGGUAUCAAUAAAUUGAAAAAACAAUCAUGAAAUAUCAUUUUUUUUUCAUUUGAACUCAAUCGAACACAAUUUUAACACGAAAUUACUAUCAAAUUAAAAAUAUAACAAACAUUAAAAAUAAAAAAAAUUAUUAAUGAAAAUUUUCAAUUGUGAAAAUGUAUGAUUUGUAAACAAAUGUACCAUAUUUUAUUACUACAAACAAAUUAAGAUUUUGUUUACAUGAUAUAAAUAGGAGAUCUACAAUUGUUGUAUAUAACUACAUUAAAAGGUUACAUAAAUAAUUUUUAAAAACUCAAACACAAUUCUAGUAUUGAUGUGGAAAUAAAAAAAUAUAUACUUGCACAAUACGAACAAGAUAUACAAUAUAAAACAACUCAACAAAAACACGUAAGAGUAGACAUGAAACUAAAUGAUUGAAUAUAAAAAUGAUUAAAAGUUCUACAUCGCCAAUAAAAACAGGACAUAGUCCCAUUCAAACUGUCUCAGUAAUCGUAUAAGGAAAUUAAGUCAACGCAAGGAAACUAAGUCUUAAUCUCUUUAUAAAUAAUAAGUUCAACGGAAAAGAGAUGAUCAAAGUACAUAAGAGCAAUCACAAUGAUAAAUAUCACACAUAACAUAAAACCAAACUCUUCAAGUUAAAAAAAGAAAUGUUAAAGGAAAACUUAAAGAAAGUAACCUUUCCGCAUGAAGAGCGGACCAAUCCAUUGUAUUAUAUAAAAAAAGCAAAAUAACAAAACCUCUCUUUAAAUAUCGUCUGACAUUAAAAAAAAAAAAAAAAAAAAAGACUGAAACACUCUCUCUUAUCCUUUCGAAGAAGAAGAAGACUUCACCGGAUUUCUGGCUCGGCCAGCGUCCGUUGGCUCUCGAGCCACGGCGUUGAGCCUGUUCUAGUGUUUUGUUUCUUUGUACGGUCCUCGGUCUCCUUGUUUGUGAGAUGAAGCAACGGUUCGCCAGUUGAGCUACGGUUCGAUUUAGGCGUGUGUGGCUCAGAUCUGAAGAUAUGAUGAUGCAGAAGUGACUCUCUUUAUCCAUCCUGUGGCUUCCUUCUUUGAUGGCUCAGAUCUAUCCGCCUUUCAUCCAUUGUGUAGGCGAGUGAAGCGCGUGAAGACGGCCGUUCUUGGUUCUCGGACCGAAUCGGUCCGUUUUUGUUGCGGUGGUUAAGAGAAUCUUAUGGCUCUUGUCUCUGUUGGUUGUGGGCUCUGUUCUGGCUUUGUUUCCUGCAAGUGAAUCGGGGGCUUUUUAUUUAUGUGUUUUUAGUGAAGUCUGGAUAUCAUGUGGUUCUUGACCUCUAUAUUAGGAAAUUAUUAUGCUCUCUUUUGAUUUUUGGUCCUAAGCUUGUAGUGUUUUCGAGUGUGUAAUGAGGGUGUGAACGCUUUCCUGUUUGUAACUACUGCUUCGGUGUGGUCGUUACCGGGUCUGACCUCGUUUAUCUCCAGAUCUGUUGAGAUUGGAGUGUUCUUUAUAGGACUUUUAUGGAGGUGUUGCUUGGACACAAUGAAGUUGUGUCGCAGCCGUAUCCGGAAGAAAGUAUGUUCCAAGUAUGGUUCUAUCUUACCGGGUUAUAAAGUCUGGUUUCUUUGAGGUGGAGAGGAGUGCUCUCGGUGUUGGUAGGUGUUGGUAGAGGUUGAAGUUAUCGUUUGGUCAGCCGGACAACGAUAUAUCUCGUUCAGAGACUGGUGCAAGCUUAGUGUACUAUUAUCAUGGUGGGUUAUGUAAUUUCCUUUUGUCGGAGUGUAUGUGUUUGUGUUCUUGUUUUUGUAAGUCACUCCCGGUGUGGUUUUUAGGUGCCUUUCUUUGGGCUUAUGUUUCUGGGGAUAUCUUUGUUUUCCGCCAGUUUGUGUAUCAAUCGUGUAUCUCUUCGUUGAAUGAAUAUUUUCAGACGGGAAAAAAAAAAUAUAUCGUCUGACAUCUGAUGAUGAAAUUAUUGUUGUAAUGCUGAGUCACCCUUAGAGAAUUGGUUCUCAAAUUUCA